GCAGGUCGUAAUCAGCCUACUGAGGGUCAAGCUGAACAGCAAAUUCCUGCUGCACCCGUGACUCACGUUGAGUUUGAUGCACUGUCUGCUCACAUGGAGCAGAGGUUUACAGAACUUAUGACAGCUAUAGCUCAAAACCAGCAGGCACCUGCGGUCCCACCUGCACCUGUGGUUCCCCCUGCACCAGCAGCCCCUCCUGCACAAGAAUUACCUAACCAACUUUCUGCUGAGGCGAAACAUUUGAGGGACUUUCGGAAGUAUGACCCUCAGACGUUUGAUGGGUCACUGGAGGAUCCUACUAAAGCUGAAAUGUGGUUGUCCUCUGUGGAAACCAUAUUUAAUUACAUGAGAUGUCCCGAGGAGCACAGAGUUCAGUGUGCUGCUUUUCUACUGAGGGACAGAGGCAUUAUCUGGUGGAGGACUACAAUGCGCAUGCUAGGUGGAGAUGUGAGGCAGAUUACCUGGGAUCAGUUUAAGAACUGCUUCUAUACCAAGUUUUUCUUGGCUAACCUUAGAGACGCCAAAAGCCAGGAAUUCUUGGAGUUGAAGCAAGGAUAUAUGACAGUCGAGGAGUACGACCAGGAGUUUGAUAUGCUGUCACGUUUUUGCCCCUGAGCUUGUUAGUAAUGAGGCAGGCUAGAGCUGAUAGGUUCGUCAAGGGAUUGAGAGAUGAAAUUAGGGGCUUUGUGCGAGCACUAAAGCCCACUACCCAAGCUGAAGCACUGCGUCUGGCAGUGGAUAUGAGCAUUGGGAAGGAUGAAAUACAGCCAAGGAGCUUUGAUAAGGGAUCGUCGUCUGGUCAAAAGAGAAAAGUAGAGAAGAGAACUGUAGGAGUUCCUCAGAGGAACUUGAGACCAGGCGAUCCUUUUCGCAGUUUCCAGCAGAGUUCUGGCGGUGCAGGAGACACUACUCGAGAGAAGCCAUUAUGCAAUACGUGUGGGAAACGUCACCUGGGUCGUUGUUUGAUGGGAACGAGAGUCUGUUAUAAGUGCAAGCAAGAGGGACACAUGGCUGAUAGGUGUCCCUUGAGAUCUACUGGGGCUGGAUCGAGCAGUCAGGGAGAGAGACCUCCACAGCGGGGUACAAUCUUUGCCACUAAUAGAUCAGAGGCAGAGAAGGCCGGCACAGUAGUGACAGGUACAUUACCAGUGUUAGGGCAUUUUGCCUUGACCUUGUUUGACUCGGGAUCUUCUCAUUCAUUUAUUUCAUCGCUUUUUGUGACGCAUGCAUGCUUAGAGGUGGAACCCUUAGAUUAUGUUUUGUCAGUGUCUACACCGUCUGGAGAAAUUAUGUUGUCUAAGGAAAAGAUUAAAGCAUGUGAAAUUGAGAUAGCUGGUCGUGUGCUGGACGUAACCUUGUUGGUAUUAGAUAUGCGUGACUUUGAUGUAAUUUUAGGUAUGGAUUGGCUAGCUACUAAUCAUGCUAGUAUUGAUUGUUCUCGUAAGGAAGUUGUGUUCAGUCCCCCUACUGCAUCUAGCUUUAAAUUCAAGGGGUAGGAACAGUAGUACUGCCUAAAGUAAUCUCAGCUAUGAAAGCUAGUAAACUACUCAACCAGGGUACUUGGAGUAUUUUGGCAAGUGUGGUGGAUACUAGGGAAGAUGAGACUUCUUUAACUUCAGAACCUGUGGUAAGAGAAUACCCAGAUGUAUUUCCAAAAGAUCUUCCAGGACUACCGCCACAUAGAGAGGUUGAUUUUGCCAUUGAGUUGGAGCCAACACUACUUCCUAUUUCUAGAGCCCCUUAUAGGAUGGCUCCUGCUGAGUUGAAAGAACUGAAGGUACAGUUACAGGAAUUGCUUGACAAAGGCUUUAUUCGACCUAGUGUGUCACCUUGGGGUGCACACAGUAUUGUUUGUGAAGAAGAAGGAUGGGUCGAUGCGUCUUUGCAUUGACUAUAGAGAGUUGAAUAAAGUAACAGUCAAGAACAGAUAUCCUUUACCCAGAAUCGAUGAUUUGUUCGAUCAGUUACAGGGAGCCACGGUGUUCUCUAAGAUUGACUUACGGUCAGGUUAUCACCAGUUGAGGAUUAGAGACCGUGAUAUUCCUAAGACUGCUUUUCGUUCGAGGUAUGGACAUUAUGAAUUCAUAGUAAUGUCUUUUGGUUUGACUAAUGCACCUGCUGUAUUUAUGGAUUUGAUGAACAGGGUGUUUAAGGAUUUCUUAGACACUUUUGUGAUAGUCUUCAUUGAUGAUAUUUUGGUUUAUUCCAAGACUGAGGCCGAACAUGAGGAACACUUACAUAAGGUGUUAGAGACUCUUCGAGUCAAUAAACUGUAUGCUAAGUUCUCUAAGUGCGAAUUUUGGUUGAAGCAGGUGGCUUUUCUUGGUCAUGUGGUUUCCAGUGAGGGAGUUUCAGUAGACCCUGCAAAGAUAGAAGCGGUUACCAGUUGGUCUCGACCCUCUACAGUUAGUGAGGUUCGUAGUUUUCUGGGUUUAGCAGGGUACUACCGGAGGUUUGUGGAGGAUUUUUCACGUUUGGCUACUCCUUUGACUCAGUUGACAAGGAAGGGAACUCCGUUUGUUUGGAGUCCAGCUUGCGAGGGUAGUUUUCAGAACCUUAAGCAAAGGUUAGUUACUGCACCGGUCCUUACUGUACCAGAUGGAUCUGGAAGUUUUGUGAUUUACAGUGAUGCUUCCAAGAAAGGACUGGGUUGUGUUUUGAUGCAGAAAGGUUUGGUAGUGUGACCUACAACAGUUUGCCAACGAUUUUAAGGAUUAAGAAAAUGUUGGAGUUUGAAAGGAAGAAAUCAAAAUUUCCAAGAAACAAGCAAACAUAGUAAAGAAGAAAAUGGGAAAUGGUGAAAUGAACGUGUUGCACUAAAAUCCAAGUUUUAACUGUUUCCAUGUCUUUGCUGCCUUCUCAUAUUUCAAAGGGAGAGAGUUGGUUUCUUGUUUUUGUUAUUACUUUUUUCCAUAUUGUUUUGUUUUAUGUUGAGCAAUUAAAUUGAAAUAGCAUUCAAGUAUGUUCAUUGAAAAAUAUUGAUCAUUAUUAUUUAAUUCUUGUUUUUUGUUUACUAUGAUUGUGGAGUUCUAUUCUCUAUUAUUACGCAAGGACUACUCUGGUCAAUUACUGUUCUAUAUCUUUGCUGAAGACAUGAUACUAGUAAUGGUGGCUUGAACAUUUGACAUGAGAAUGAUUACAACACUGCCUCAUGGAAAAUCUUCACGUAAGUUCUUCUCUUCAAUAGUUAAAUAUCUUAUAAGACAAUAAACAUAAAUUGCAUAUUUUCUGAGAUAAGAUGAUAGAUACAUGUCAAAUCUUUCCUUGGUUAUUGAACCUUGGUUAAUGAACACAUGGAUGAGUGGGUAAUGGCUGAGAGAGUCCAAGAUAUAAUGAAUACUUUAGUGAGUCAUGUUGGAUUGCCAGCCGAAGCCAUUUUUUUCUAGGAUUUUCUGGUGAAUAAGUUGCAUUUCUGCAGAACGAAGAAUUAUAACCAUACACAAAAUCUAAUCAUGAACCGAUAAAACUGGUGGUGGAAAUCCAGUUUUUUCAGUUGCAUUUAAAGACACAGAUUUCUACUCAGGAAGAAAAUGGUAUGUAUAAGGGGACAUUUAGUGGCAUAUGUGAAUUAAAAGACAAUCUUUGUUUGUUUUCUAUUUUGAUCUCAGUAUUUACAUUGCUCAAAAAUUGGAAACUUGACUUCAUUGAAAUAGGAAAUUGAAUUUGUCACUUUUGGUUAGUGUUCUUGCACUGCAACUUUGUUGAGCAGUAUCCAAAUAAAGUUGUUUGUGUGAAGUGAAAAUAAGGAUUAUUGUGAAUUAGUUUAUGGUGUGCAACCAUUGAAAUUGACAAGGAAGACCUGAGAUAUUUAAUAUGGAAAUUACGUACCUUAUUUAAUAUCUGUUUGAUAACCUUUUGUUCUUAUUUUCUCACAACUUUUGGUGAACUUUUCACCUUCCUUGAAAAUACAUCUGAAUCCUAAGCCAUAUUAAAAAAAAAAAAAGAAACACAAAUGAAGUUUGUAAAAACUACCUAUUUAGCUUUCUCACUUUUGACAUGCUUUUUGUCCUUUUGAAAACGUUUUCUUUAUUAAAAGAAGUUGGUGAAUUACACAUAGUGAAAGUAGUGUUUAUAAGCUUAAUCUAACUUUUCUUGACAAGGAAAAAAUGUCAUAAUAUACGAAUUUGUGACAUUUUGUUACUGUCGUCAAUAUCAAAAUAAUGACAAUUUAAUUUUAUAAAAACUGUUAUGAUUGGCCGAUCCUUGACAAGGAAAAAAUGUCCUAAUAUACGAAUUCCUUACAUUAUUGUAACUGUCGUCAAUAUAAAAAAGAUGAUAUUUAUUUUUAAAAAAACUAUCACGAUUGACAUAUUCUUGAAAUAUAAAAAAUGUCAUAAUGAACGAAUUCGGGACAUUUUUGUAACUGUCGUUAAUAUGCAAAUGAUAAUAGUUAUUUGUUGUCUAAAAUAAAAUAUGAUAGUUAUUUGUUGUCAUAAAAUAGUAAUUAUUAACAUUUAUUUUCUGUUAUGAAAAAAAUUAUUGUGACAGUAUUUUCAAACUGUCAUGGAAGGACUUUCCACAACAGGGGAUACUACGACUGUAAAUAACUAUCACAGAUUUUGUUCACGACAGAAAAUAACUGUCGUAGUAGACCAUUUUUGUUGUAGUGCUUUUUCAUGAAGAAUUCAGGAACUAAAAAUGACGAGAAGUAGGUUAAAUUUCAGGAUCAAAAUUGAAAGUAAGCAAAAAGAUGUGAGUUUGCUUUAUCGUGUUUCGAUCGAAUUGUGUGUUAAUCUAUCAGGAAUCUCAUUUCAAUUUCUUCAACUUAGUUGUAGAAGGUUCCAAAAUGAAGAGUUUGAUAUAAAAUACAUAAUUUUCUAUUUAAGUAUUGAAGAACUUAUGACUAGUUGAAUUUAACCUUCUAAAGUUGAAACUUACUGGAAAAGUAUGGAAUUAAAGACCACUAAGAUUGAUUUAUGUUGGUUGUUUAUGGUGUUAAGACUUUUAAGUUGAAGCUAAGCGUUCAAAAAGUAUAAUUUUUAGCCUAAAUUAAAAUAUGUAGGGUUUGAUAUAAAUUAAAGAUGAAAAUGAGAAUUUAAGCCUUUAUAAAAUAAAUAGCUUAAAUUAUAGUAACGAAAUUGGGGUAAGCGUAUAAUCCUCGCAGAACGAGUUCUGUUUUUUACUAUGAAUGGUUACUUUCAAACAUUUGAUACGAAAAUUGUUUACUUUGGUUUUAUCGAUGAGGACGUUUGGUUUGUUUAUUAAGAAAACUCUGUUUUAGCUUUAAAUUGCUGGAAAAAGUAUGAAACAUAAUUAUAGAUGUUGGUUUAUGGUAAUGGAAUGUAAAGGUUGGUUUCCAAACCACAAAACCAAUGUACUAAGGUGAUUUUACUCGUAGGCUACGUAAAUGUAUUUUCGUAGUGUCACCUAUGGUUGUCAGGAGGUUCUGGGGCUGAAAGAGGUCGUGACCGAAGAUCCGAGAACCUGAGCCUAGGUGAGGAUAUGGAGGGAGAAUUGAGAUAUGGCUUCGGGCCUAUUAUAACCCAUGGUGGGUGUCUUUUUUACACAAAGGAGCGGGUUCAUGUUGUUACUGUGGUAAGCUAAUAAUGCGUGGACUCCGUUUGGGCACGUGUUUCCUUGUGGUUAUGGAUCACAUGUGAGCUAUUCUGGGUCGUGUGUUUAGUAUGCUAUCGUGGUCGAAUUAGAUGGAUGUUACUAUUGUGGCGGGUACUAAAUAUGUGUGACCCAGUUGUGGCUGCAUGAUUCCUUGAUCAUGUGCGUGCUACUCUUGGCCGUAUGUUUAGACGUCUUUCCAUGAUCGGAUUGGCUACAGGUUGGUUGGUUGGUUGAUUGGGGAAAAUGUGAUUAUAAUGUUUUAUUUAAUACAUUAUUUAUCGAUGCGUAUUUACACAUCUUAUGAAGCAUAUUUUUACGUGUAUUUGUAUCAAAUUACUUGCUACUCACUAAGCAUUCGGCUUAUUUUUUCAAUAUUUUCUCUCCCUUCCCAAGUAACAACCCAGGACCAAGCUUUGUUUCAGCUUAGUCGUUCUUGUAGAUCUUCAAUUUCUUUUUUUUUUUUUUUUGUUUGUGUGUAUAGUUUAAACUUUUGUAAUUCAUCACUGGGUGGUUAGUCUCAUCUAGAGAGACAAUGUGGACUUGUGUUUUGGAAGAUCCCUAAUUAGUUUGAAUACUUAUGUAUGUAAUACGUAGUUUGCACCUUAUAUUGUACUUGAAGUUUUGAUUCGAUUUGUGAAUGUGUGUGGUGAGACACACUAGUUGUAUGUAGUAUCUGAAUUCCGUUUCAAAUUUUAUAGAAGUAGAAAUUACUACAUUUUCAGGUGUUGUUCCCUCAUAUUUUAUGGGAGGUGCUGUCAACAUUAUUAUACUUUACUCUUGAAAAGGGUGUGUUAUUAAUCUUACGUUUUCAAAGCAUGUUUUAACGAGUAGGCUGACACCAGCAUCUUUUUAAAGAGGGAAGUUUUAGAACGGGGAGUGAAAGCUUGUUUCUAAAUACACUAUAUAUAUGCAUGGACAUAUAAUAUUUAUAAUAGUAAGUAUUAUUAUUAUUAUUAUUAGCUUAUUAUGCUCAAUACUUCAAGGGAAGUGACAAGAAAUGAAUCAGACAUCUAAAGUUGUGAUCGAAUUGGAUGCAAUAAAAGUUGCUUUAUAGAGGAGGUAGGGGAUUAUCGUUAUGAUAUCACUAAACAUUACUUUGUGGAUGGAACAUAAUAGAGGGGGAGGCGGUGGGAUGACCAUUGGGGGAUUAUCAACGAUGUUCUAUUUUAAAGGUGAAUGUCAUGUGGUGGAGGAGGGGGAAUAACCAUUUGAGGGCCGCCAACAUCAGAAUCAAAAUGAUGGUGUGGUGGAGGGAGUGGAAUGAUCAUUUGCAGGCCACCUAUGUCAGAAUCAAGAUGAUGGUGUGGAGGAGGGGGUGGGAUGACCAGUUGAGGCCCGCCAACAUCAGAUUGUGGAUGUUUGUGCGGUGGAGGUGGUGGGAUGACCAUUUGAGGGCCACCAACGUCAGAAUCAAGAUGAUGGUGUGGAUGAGGGGGUGGAAUGACCAUUUGAGGCCGCGCCAACAUCAGAUUGUGGAUGUUUGUGCGGAGGAGGUGGUGGAAUGACCAUUUGAGGGCCACCAACAUCAGAAUCAAGAUGAUGGUGUGGAGGAGGGGGUGGAAUGACCAUUUGAGGACCGCCAACAUCAGAUUGUGGUUGUUUGUGCGGAGGAGGUGGUGGGAUGACCAUUUGAGGGCCACCAACGUCCGAAUUAAGAUGAUGGUGUGGUGGAGGGGGUGGAAUGACCAAUUGAGGGCCACCAACAUCGGAUUGUGGAAGCUUGUGCGGUGGAGGAGGAGGGAUAACCAUUUGAGGGCCGCCAACAUCGGAAUCAAGAUGAUGGUGUGGUGGAGGUGGUGGAAUGACCAUCUGUGGUCCACCAACGUCUGAAUCAAGAUGAUGGUGUGGCGGAGGGGGUGGAAUGACCAUUUGAGGUCCGCCAACAUCAGAUUGUGGGUCAACAUGAAGCAACACUGUAAAUACACAAACAAAGAAUUAGAAUACAUGCAUACGUGAUAUAUGUAUAUGUAUAUAUAUACAAACGGAAAAUAAUAUUCUUGUAUACGUACCACGACAAUGUGACAUUGUGGCUAUGGAUAAAAGCGAUAGAAAAAGAAGAUAAAUUCUUUGUGUUUUCUCCAUAUUGGUCACUAGAAAAUGGAGAAUAGAAGAUUAAUCUUGUGGAAAUGGAUGGAGGAACGAAGGGUUUAUAUAAGAUGGCUUUGUGGGCCAAAACAAGAAUUAUAGUUUAAUCAUAAUCGGUACGCAACUCAAUAAAAUUGAAAUUGAUAAAGUUAUACCCAAGCAGUUUUAAUGGUCCAUUUUAAUGCCUAAAACUCAACAAUCUUAACUUUCAUCUAAAAACAUCCAAUAUCGUGCUUAAGAGAAUUUAAUUACUACUUAGAGAAAUUAAAUGAGAAUAACAAAAAGAAGUUAUCCGUGAAAAAAAUAAUUUCAUAUGCUCGUAUUACCAUAAAUCUUCCAACAAUAACCUUCUGUAAAAAAAAAACACAAAAUCUUAGUUAAUGAUGGUAGUUAUAACAGUUUAUGUCAAUGGAUAUCAGUGCAUUUUGAGAACUAAAAAAUCCAUCGUCCAAUUCCUCCGCCUCUCCAAUUUGUCCUAAAAACAAUUUUAAAAGUAAAAAGUAAAUUUUUGGGAACUUUUAAUCAAAAAAAAAAAAAAAAGAAACAAAGGAAAAAGGAAAAAAGAAAAGAUUGUAUGAAUUAAUUAUUGAUGGUUGUCUUAAAACCAUCGAAACAAGCAAUACUCUAAAAAGAAGUAAAUUUUAUCGCUCGUAGGUCUAUGGCUUGAAUCUCUCAUCUUCUAUUGAUAUUGAAAAAAUGAAAUUUAUUAACCAAAUUACUAUUAGGAUAUAUUUUAUCUAACUUAAUUAGGUUGUUAUAUAAUUUUAACUUGUGUUGUUGAAUGAGAAGUUUUUUACUAAUCGCAAAUUGCCCCAUCAUUUCUUAGACUAGAAGAUAUAAUGCUAAGAAAGUUAGCAAAAGAGGUAAAAUUGAACCAAGGAACGAACUAUAGCUUAAGGGGUGAUGGUGCCUUGAUGAAAUAUGAUAGGUUGUGUGUCCCUAGAAACCAAGGCAUAAAAGAUCAAAUUUUAGAGGAAGCAUAUAGUUCUGCAUAUGCAAUUCAUUCUGGCAGUACAAAGAUGUAUAGAACUUUAAUUUAUUGGACCUUAUGAGAUAUUAGAACGUAUUGGGCUUGCAGCGUACAAUAUGGUAUUGCCUAUGGAACUUUCGAGGAUUUGUGAUGUGUUUCAUGUGCGAUGUAGCGUAAGUACGUUUCUGAUCCAUCUCAUAUUCUUGAAACACAACCAGUUCAUUUGAAAGAGAACUUGUCUUACAAAGAGGAGCCAACACAAAUUCUUGAUAAGAAAGAGCUGGUGCUAAGGAACUAAGUCAUACCGUUAGUUAAAGUUCUUUGGGGGAACCAUAUUUAUGAAGAAGCAACAUGGGAGACUGAGCAGGCAAUGAAGGCUCAAUACCCACAGCGUUCCACAUCAUCACCAUGAUCGAAUUUCAAGGACGAAAUUAUUAAAAAAGAAGAUAGUAACGUGUAAGCCCUCGUUCUUUUCUCCUUUUAUUUAUUAAUAUUUUUAAGUUUGAAAAACAAGUUUAAAUCUAAUAGUUAAUGUCUAAAGGUUGAAUUGUUUUAAUAAGGUAAAUUGGUUUUAAUAAGAAAGUUUGGAACAAAUUUAGGUUGGUUUAAGGCUUCGACUUUUUGAGGUGUUGAAAAGAGUAAGGUAGGGGCAAAAAAUGAGUUUAUUUUGAAAGUGAGGGGUAUUUUUGUCUAUAUCUAUUAUUAGUAUUUUUCUUAUAUGAAGCAAUUAAAAGAAAAAGAGGAGGGGAACGUCUACAAGAGGUCUUGAGUGCACGCCCUCCCCUUCCUUCGAGUUGUUCCCUCUCUCCCACCUUGUUCUCUUUCCUUGGUUUGCCGCCAUACCUGCCGCCUCGUCCUCACGUUUCAGGACAGCCACAAACCGCGUCGUUCAUCUCCUUCGCGUCGUUUGGUGUCGCUUUGAAGCCUUGUCUCCAUCUAAUGACGCGUCACUCGAUUCACUAGACGACGACGUGCACGUGGCUAGCAAAGCCCUACCACAUCGCCCUUAACACAGUCGUAAGUCGGUUCUUCAACACCUCUCCUAUAGCCGUCAUGCGUGGUAGCUGACUAGAGGCCAACCGAAUCUUUGUCCAUCUCCAUUCUUCUUUCAGUUCCUACUCUUAGAGUAAGAUUUUUAUGGUUCGGGGUUGUUUUCUUUAGGCGAUUGUGAAUACCUAUUAAGUUUAGACAUAAACUUAACUUUUUCCACAACAUUUUGGAUGUUAGAUUUGAUUAUUAUAGGAGUUGGAGCUGUUGUCCAGCCGUUUAAGAACCCAAAAUCGAGUGUUUUGACACAACUUUGGUAAAUUUCUAAACUUCUUGGAGUCAAUCUUAAAUACCUGUUUGAUUCUAGUGCUAUCUUUAAGUAACCAAUGAUGGUGGACGGUUGAUUUGAACUAAGAAGGUACUUAGGAUGUUGCCCAUUGAAAUCAAGGGUACUAUGUUGAGUUCUUGGUAACAUUUGGAAUAGUUUCCACAAAUCAUCUCUGGUUUUUAUAGUGGUUUGAGGUACACAAGAAGAAUUAAAAUAUACAAUUUGAUUCGUUUGAAAGUUCACUCAAUUUCUAACAAGUUUCAUGAAUAAAAUUUGAGCAAAUUCUGAGGCUAAGUGAAUGAUUUUUGAAGUAGAAAAUAGACCAUAGACUUUUCACGUAAUUCCAAGAAGCCUCUGGUUUUUCGAGUAUCCAAUAAUGUAUAGGUGGAAUUAAAAGCUCUAUUUGGUAUGGUUAGAAAGCUUGUUAAAUUUCCUACAACCACUACAACAAAAUCUAUCUACUACAACAGUUGUUUACAUUAGAAAAUGGAAGGGAGGAAAAAAAAACUGUCACAAAAGGUAAAAAUACCCGUCAUUUGUGGGAAAAGGCGAAAUUUUUCAGAUAGCAUUUUUUGCGACAGUUAUUUGAUGUCGUAGAAGAUACAUCAAAUAAUUUAUUUAAUUUAUUAAAAUUCAAUUCAAUUUAAAUGAAAAGUAAAGGGUUUUAAGGCUUUUCCCCCAAAUAAAAAUUUCCCCAAAUUAAAAACCCUCAUUCCUCUCGCAAAUAAGCCAUCUCAAAACGCGAAGAAGACCAUCUUUGGAUGACGCCCGUUCCCAUCACCACCACCGCCUUCUCAUUCCCGUCUCCUCACUCUAUUACUAUCGCAACCUCCUUUAUCGAACGACAAACCUCCUCUAUGAUAACCUGUUUAAUCUGUGCCUGUCAUCUCCAAUCCACCGCAAUCUCUUCAACAUUCAAACCACGACCGUCACCUCCUCUGUCGGUAAGUCAUUUGUUCCUUUUCUCUUUCUCUCUCUUCGCAAAGUUGUUCUCUUGUCACUACUUCCCUCAACUCCAUGAGUCGUCGGUAAGGUCUUAAAUUUUCAACUUCGUUUGAAUUUCCACUUUUGCGCAAACACCCCUAUGUGAUGUAUGUGAAAUAAAUGUUGGAUUUAUCUUUAACUUAAAUUAGACCAAAAAAUGUUAAGACUUGAAGCUGAAAGAGAGCAAGACAAAAAGGGAGAAGGUCCUGAAAAUGUCCUUCAUGUGUUUAGGUUUAUGAGAUGUUUAUUUAAGGAAAUUUUGAUUUAAGAUAUAUUCUUUUAUUAUAUGACACCUCCCCUUGUCUUAAUUUUAUAUAAUACUAUUUGGUGAUGUGUUUUGUUUGUUUUUCUACUGUGCAUUUUUUCAUGAGAAGAUUGUUCUUUGGUGUUUAGGGGAGCCUAAUAACUUCAUCCUUAGCUGAGCAAGAGUUCUCUAACUCUAACUUAGGAGGAGCCUAAAGGUAAGUAUUUGUUGAUGGUAGUAGACACAGUAGACCUUUAUUUAUCAACACUACAAGAAAAAUGGUCUACGACGACAGUUAUUUAUUGUCGUGAACAAAAUCCAUGACAAUUAUUUUCAGUGAUAGAAGCGGGAGUUAUGGAAAGUCCUUCCAUGACAUUUUUCAAAAACUGUCUCCAUAAGUUAUUUCAUUACAUAACAUAAAUGUCGUUAGUUAGCAUUCUACGACAUCAAAUAACUGUAAUAUUUUAUUUUAUGACAAUAAAUAACUAUCAUCAUUUAUGUAUUAACGACAGUUAAAUAAAUGUCAUGAAUUCGUUUAUUGUGACAUGUUUUAAAUGUCACGAAUAUGUCAAUUGCGACAAUUUUUUUUAAAAAAAUGUCAUUGUUUUGCUACUGAUGACAUUAUUUUUCUGUCAAAGAUAGGACAAUCGUGACAAUUAAUUUUGUAAAAAAAACUGUCAUUGUUUUCGUAUUCACAACAAUUAAUAACUGUUAAAAAUUCAUAUAUUACGACAUGUUUUUCCUGUUGCAAAUUACUCGAUUAGUACAGUUUUUUCCUGUUCUCCUUGCCACUCCGCCAUUACACGAACCAUUUGAAUGACAAUAAUGUAGCUGACAAUGACAAUUUUGAAUUUAUAAUAUUGACACCCAUAUAGAAAAAAUUAGCCAACAAUUUAAUAUAUAUACGCUAUAAUACAAUUUAUAAUAUUCGUACAUUUCCAAUCAAGUUCCAACAAUUUACAAGUACAGAAUCUCAGCCCUUAAUCAAAAAAUAUUUUAAAUAGCAUCAGAAUACAUAUAACAAGAUUUUCUGCUAAAGCAUAAACGACCAACCGAGAAUGUUUGUCUCUGAAAAUGUUCUUUGAAAGUAAACUCAUGAAGUUGUCGACUCCAGUUGAACCUACGAAGACAACAUGAAUAUAAGCAUCCAUCAUAGAACAAGAGAGUACAACUCUUAUAGAAAAUUUCAACAUUGAGAAUUACCUAUCACUACAUACGUCGAUAAGAUAAACAACUACAUAGCAGAGCACACAUGUAGAAUAACAACAUCAACUUAACAUCCACUUGGUCUACCAUAUUGGAACUUUUUACAAAUUACAACUCUUGUAUCAUUACUCUUUAGAAAACUUAGCUGGAUAUAAAUAAGUAAUCAACAAGAAAAUUCUUGAAUAAGUAAUCAUAAGUAAUAAUCGAGAUGAAUGAAACUUAAGAAUCCAUUAGUAGUUCACUGUCACUAAGGUUGGAAGAAACGUUAUCCAACAAGAACCAAAAAGUUUCCAUCUUAAGGAGUCAAACACUUUCAAAUCUACAAAUAUCAGAAAGAAGACAGUUUUCAUGUGCAAUCCACUUCAGUUAAUGAAGCCAAGAAAUAUUAAGGUACUAGGAAAAUGAAACUAGAACAACUUGUAUCAUUUAUGGCUUGACAGAAUUUAAAGGUCUCCUAGUUUCUUAUAAAAAAAAGCUCUACCAAUGAGUACCGACAUAAAAUCCAUGACAAUUUACACAAGUACCAAUUUAGCAAUAGCAAUAAGUACAGACAUAACACCCAUGGCAAUUUACACAAGUAGCAAUAGUCAACCACUAUAAGCAUACUAUUCAUGAUAAAAAAACAAAAUUGUAGCAUCCUAGCAGGUAUAUUGUUGGUAUCGAUAGGUUGUUUUCAAGUAUUUAUCUUGUUUCGUAAAGCAAAAAUUCAAUAGUUUGUUUUAGCAUAUAUAACCACUAAAAUUGAAUAAUGACAAAUCAUCAAAGAGUGAAAAAUGGAAAGCCAAUAACUUCAACAAACUAAAGUUGUAAGAGUAUAUACUUUGAAAUAAAUAUUACCUGUUAACUAUAUCGUUAGAUUGUUCUUAUCUUCUUUAUAUGUUAGAGGUAUCCUCUUGAGUUGCUAGCCUUCAUAAGAUAUAUACCUUUAUUAUCUGACGUGCUCCAUUUCUAUUGGAUGCUUGCCAAUUCUCUAUGAUCAUACAUCUGAAGGCUGAAUCACAUUUUCAUCAUGUAAUCGGACUUUAGUGAUUGGAUUUGGACGUUUAAGAUCAUGCAAAAUAAGAAGCACAAAUGUAGAUAUGCAACGUAAUAUGUUUACAAUAAGAAAACUAAAACUUCUAAAUGAAUUCUGAAUCUUUAUACACCCCGAGUAUGAUGACAUGCACAAAAUUCUUCUCCUAGAUUCAAUGUAUAGAGAUGAAUAUUGUUUAUGGAUACCUUACUAUGAUUUCCUUACAAUGUACAAUCUACUUGAAGGUAGUUGAGGUUCUAAAGUACCUAAAUACACCGUUCCUACAAAUUGGAACCGAUAGUCUGUACGAGAUAAAAAAUAUCUAAUAUAAGAACUUUUGUGGUUAGCUUUUUGAACAUCUUAACUUUUAACAAGUCAAUAAGAAAUGGAAACAAGAGCAUACCAUUACAGAAAAUCAAGCACAUUUCAGCUUUAAAAUUAUUGUAAACAUAUAUGGUUUAAUUUAAAAUUAGAAACAAUUGAAAAUCUUCUUAGGAGCAGUUCCAGUAGCUCUGUGUUUGGCAGCAAUUUCCUCUGCCUUUGCCUUUAGCUUUUCUUCUCCAUGCUUUGCUUCAAUUAACAACCUUAUUUUCUUAUGUUGUUUUGUGUAUCAAUGCUAUUUUGUUCUUCAUUUUCUCUAUAUACUCACCCUUCUUCUUCUCAAAUUUUUCAUGCUCUCAUUACAAAAUCAAUCCAAAUGAAAUCGACAAAAAAGAAAAAAAAAACAUAGUUGUAAAGAGCAGUUCCGUCAAUGAAGAGAAAUAUCGAAUUACAGAUUUUGGAAUCUUCACUGAGGUUGUGAGUUUAUAUUUAAUGAAUUUUUCUAAAAUCUAGAACUAAAAUCGUAAAUAGCAUCUACAUACUAUACAAAUAAAACUUAAACACAUUACAUAUAUUUUGUUUUCUAAUUACCUCAAUUUGUUUUAGUUCAGCCUCAAGAGCUGCUUUCUUGUUGUUCUCCCAUGACCCAAUGCGUUCCAUCCAGAAAAACACAUAUAUAAAGCAAAUAAUAGCAUCAAAGGGGUUAAAUUCCAUUGAGCUCCCUAUUCAACUCUUCAGUAUCAAUCAGAAUUUUAGAAUUAUUAACCCAAGGGCUGAGAAAUAUAAAAUAAAUUUGGAAACAAAAGAAAAUUCCAUUGAGCUCUUUAAGGAGGAAGCAAAAGAUUGUAUUCUUUUGAAAUUAACUUUCUCAAAAGAAGCAACAAUCUCUUCUCACAAACUAGUAACAUAGAUUCCCCACUGCAAAUAGGAGAAAAGAACUAACAUCAACAAAGUAGAUAGAAUUUUGGACAAAGAGUAACAUAACAUGAAGUUAGGAACAUGCAGUAAACAAAAUCUCAUGAAGAUUAAGCACAUCAAUACCCACAACUAGAUCCUAAAAAAAAUAAGAAUCUGAAACUAGAUCCUGAAUAAUAGCAUAUCUUAUAAUCCAAUGAACACCAAUAAUUAUCCUACUGUGCAAACAUGGAAAUUACUUAUGUAGAUUGGAACCCACAAUUUUCAAUUUGAAAAUCUACUUCCUUGAACCAAUGAAAUCAAUUAGUUCAAAGGAGUAACAAACUACAAACAAGUUAGCAUUAAUGAACCGUAUCUACAUUAAAAUAAUAUAAAUAAAAGACAAAUUCACUCUCCCCUUUCUCUACUCCACCCCACUAAGUCUAUAUAUUUGUAAUUUACCCACUCACUCAAAACAACAUUCAAGGAACAAAUCAAGUGAAAGAAAACCUUUUCCAAUUCCUUGCCAUAAAUCUACUAAAUAAUGCAAAUUAACUAUAAAAAAUUCAGAAAUCAAUGAAUAGGUAAUGAUAUUUUUACGAAAAUAAUAAAGAAUACUUGUUGUCAUAUAAUCUUAAAAAUUAAUGAUACGCACAGAAGAAGUAUUGAAUAACAUAAUUCAAGGAUUGUUGUGUGACUCAAACAUCCUAUAUCGGGACAAACACAAUCACACAACAUCAUUAGCAUUUCAAUACAUUCAUAAAUAAUAAUAUAUCGUUUAUCUGUUUCUUUCCUUCAUACAAUCCUAAAGAGUUUACAACUCUUUUUUUAAAUAUCUCAUUCGUCUUUUGAUAUACGCUCAUCUUGAAAAUCCCCUCUCUCCAAAAAAAAAAAAAAAAAGGACAGAUUUCAUUCUCCAAUCUCUCCAUCCAUUUCCACACCCACCCUAAUAUUUAAUAUUUACAAAGAAUCUUAUUAAAAAAAAAAAACUUAGCAUGUUUUUCCAAAAUGCCACUUAAACUAGUGGCAUCAUUGAUCAUUAAUCUAUCGAUUGAGAGUGACAGAAACAUCGAUAGAGAGCUCUAACAAGAGAAUAUUAACAUCACCAUGCUAACCUUUUGAGUGGCUAAGAAAAAAUUGAGAUGAAAUUCUUCAAGACUUGAACUUCUCAAUGUACUGUAACCCAACUUCGACUGAAUCUACACGUAAACAUUAAGUCAUCAGAACUUGAAUGUCAUCAACACACAAAAAAAAUUCAUGCUUCUUGUAUUCUACAAGAUACUCUUAUUACUUCAUUGGUUGUCUUCAAACAUUAUCACUUUCAAUAAAAACAACCAAAGUCCAUAAACAGAUUGUAUGUUAUUAUUGGAAAACAAAAUAAUUGAAAACAUAGGACCAUUUUCAAACCAUUAAGCAAUCACUAUAGGACCAACCAUCAAUAAAAACAUAUUUACAAAUAUGUAAAGUAGAUCAGAUACGUCCAAAACUAAAGGACUAAAUGAGUUAACGUCCAGAAAAAAAAAAAUCCAGACAUGCAUAUACACACCAAAUGCUUACAAAAUCAAUAUAACAAUCUUCCAAAGUACCCUACCUAAAAUAAUAAUCUCGUGACAAAUAAGUGUCCUUAAGAGGACCAAAUUGCACAAAUAAUCCCCGUAGGUCGUCUGACCUGCAAAAUACAUACCGAUGAAGAAGUUGAUCAACUUAAUAGAGAACAAAACCAAACACAAUCUCUUUUUUCCCUUUGUCUUCUCAACAAAAUAAAACGUUUCUUAGAAUUUUCCUAAUUCAAACGAACGAAAAUCAAAUUAAAAAUCAACUAAAUGCUUCAUUGAGGCAUUUCAUCAAACACAUUGUAAUCAAACAUAUCGUAAGCAACCAAAAUGCUUCAUCACAUAACCAACCAUAAAGAAAAAAUGUGAUUCACAUUAGAAAAAUGAUCGUAAACAACAAUAUUGAAUAUGAUGAAUAUGAUGGUAGACAAAACAAACACAUAUCUCCUAUAAAAUCAAAACUAUGAGGGAUGUUUUUCAUAAAAAGAACCAUCAAUAUAUCACAUUGACUCAUUCGCAUGGAAUCCAACAUAUAGGAGAUGGGUUAUGAAGCCAUUGGAGAGUAAAUUGCAUUCAACAAACAACCAAAGACAAAGUGGAAUUGGAAAUCAAAAUUUCAUCCAUUUCGCAAUUUGGGAUUUAGGCAAUGAGAAUUCCCAUCAAACAUUAAAAAAUUUGCCAACCUAUUUUUUAUCCAAAACUUCUCUAAAACCUUUAAUUUAACACAAUUCAAACCUAGGCAUAAUGAAAUUUCAGAUAUUAAAACCUAAUUUUCAGCAAUUUGCAGUGAAUUUCGAAAGGACAGAAUUUUUUUUGAUACUUACUGGAAAUUCCCCAAAAUGUAAUUAACAUUUUGCUGGACAACACGAUAAAAUCCUUCAAAACCUGAAUCUAAUGUAAAAAUAGGAUGAAGUCGAAAUGGAGCCACGGACGCGUGACGGGAAAAGAAAACCUGAGAGUGAGGGAGAAGACGCCGAUGAGAGGUGGUAGCGGUGCGUUUGGCUGGUCAGCGCUCAGUCGCAGAAGCCACCGACGUUGGCAGUGGAGAGAUUGAGAAAGAUUGCAGUGAGGGGGAGGGUUUUCGAAAUUUAGGGGCUUUCCUUUACUUUCUUUCUUUCCAUUCUUUUAACUUAAAACAAAUAAAUUUUAUUUUAUUAUUACUAUUUAAUGCAGUUAAAAAAUGUCAUAGAUUUAUGGCAUUAAAAAACUGUCAUAAAUUUGGCCAAUCCGAAAAUUUUCAUCUUUUCCCGCCAAAAAUGGGCAUUUUGACAAUUUGUGACAGUUUUUUUGUUCUUCUUUUAAUUUGGAUUGUAUACAAAUGUCAUAGAAUGUCAUUUUUCUUGUAGUGCAAUUUGUGGGGUCUAAUUGAAUUUCUUUAACUUCAAAUUUUGCUUCAAUCCUUCUAUUUUAGUAUUUUUAGAAUACUUAAUUUUUGGCAUUGGUGUUAAUUUUGCUUUAUUUUUGUCUUUACACUCUUCAAUUAAUUAACUUUUGGCAUUUCGACUUCUUCGCUAUAUAAAGGUUAGUACUUACUUUUAUAUACUCAAGACUCUUUCUUAUUUUAAGUUUUUCCAUUUUAUUUUGAUUUUUAAUUACAUGUUCUUUUGAAAAUUGUUUGUUUAUCUAUUAAUGUUGAGAAUAUCAUAAAAUGUUCUCUACAUUUUUUAUUAUUGAAAUUUUGGGGUUUUUUUUUUUUUUUUUUUUUUUUUUUUUUGCUAUUUUCACUAUUUUCACUUUGCGGGAGAACAAAAAGGUAGAAGUAAAACAUUUUAUGUUUUAUUUUAUAUUUUACUAAAAAUACUUUUUAGCAAGUGUAAUAUGUAAACUCCACCAUUUGCGUAUGGAAGGUGUUUGUGAAUAUGCCUGAGAGAUGUGGACUGUGGCUUUGUUUUAUACAAUUUGUUUUAAGCAUAUUUUGACUGUUGAACUGGAAAUGGACUUUUAGAAUCCAACCCAUUUGCUUUAAUUGCACAAAUCUCUAGUGGAAGGAUUUGGCUGCAACUCAUGCAGUCUAAAUAAUGGUUUGUUAUUAUUGUUAGCCUAUUGGUACAAUUCUAGUGUAAUUAUUAGAAACUUCCUGCCUUGAGUUUGGUAUUUACUCACUAACUUUUCAUGGUUGAAUUUUCAGAUCUAUUUGAACUAUCAACCCGAAUUUGGAACUUCAAUGUUGGGGCUUUGGUGAAAGAAAAUGCUUGAACCCAAAUUUGAAUUGAAUUGUAUAUGUAAAGUCCCAAAGGUAAAAAUAUAUAUAUAUAUACAUUUUUAUUUUCUUUUCUUUUCUUUUUCUUUUUCUUUUCUCUCUUCUCCUUCCUCCCCGUGCGUUCUCCUUCCGUUCGCAGCAAGCAGCCGCUGACCAUCCCUUCUCCUCUCUGUUCCGCCAGAUCGAGCCGAACUCAACCGCAACAUCUGUUUCUUCCUCCGUUCACCGAAGCCGAACCCACUUUCUUUCUUCUUUGAUCCAAAACUGUCGCUGUAACCGUCGGCCGCCGCGUAACUUUCCGUCCAGAUCUGCACCGCAAGACCUUCCGCCGUUUGCAACCGUUGCUCUUUCUCCGCUGCCCAGCCAUCUCAGUCGGUUCUGUCUCCGUCGAAGCCACGGUUCUGCAACCGUCUCCGCCGGUUCUGUCUUCGUGAAGCCCUGCCAUGCAACCUCUGUUUCGAGCCGCCGCCCAUUCCGUUCUCCUCUGUUUUCUGCACUGCCGCGCGACUCUCCGACCGCGUCAGAUCGUUGAUCGAUUUUGAGGCAGCCGCCACGUCUCCUUUGGCCGACCGCUGACCGACCCACACUUAGGAUUUUUGCUGCGAGUCCGACAGUCGUGCGUUGAGGUGUGCUGCUGUCUCUGUUUUACAAUUUUAUCGAGGUUGCUUUGUUGGUAACAACUUAAGUAUGAAUGGUAAUUGGUUUCAAAGUGGUUCAAGUGUUAUGGUUGGAAUGUUUAGCUAAUUUGUUAAUUGGUUCUUGAAGGUGUUGGGAGUAAUGUUGGGCUCCCUUAAAUUCACAACCAAUUUGUGAAUUGUUGAGGGUUCAGUUCGCCAAUAUGUCGGUGAGUUGGAACUUACGUUGAGGAAAGUAAGUGAGAUAUGUAUCGUGGAAGUAAUUGAAUUUUUGUGUUGUUGUGCUUAGGAUUGUUUCGAGGACGUUAGUUGAUUAAGGAGCUUCCCCAACUUUGAGGUAAGGGACUUUCUACUGGACUCACCUAAAGUUUUUGAGUUGUGUUGGACUGUAUGGAUGAUGAUUAAGAUGUACAUGUUUGGUUGCAGACUAAAUGUUUAGUGUAUGUUGUAUUUGACUGGAAACAUAUAUAUAUACAUUGAUGUGUGAAUUGAUGUGGAUUGCCGAAAGUAUACAUGUGAAUGACUGAAAUUAUGCUUAUGUGUACAUGAUAAUAUUAAUAGAUUGUGCUGUAUAAAGAUUUGGAUGUGAACUAGUGAAAUUUGUUUCGGUUGGAUGUGGAUUAUACUGAACUGUGGUUUGUGCUGGUGAACUGAGGGGUGUAUUGACUGUAUAGUUUGAUUGACUGACGUAUCAGUAUAUUAUUGACAGACAUAUGACUAAAGUGAGAUAAGUUGACUGUUAGGACGAGAGAAAGAACUUUAUGUUUUGAAGUAACUGAAAGAUGGAUUGAAUGGAAUGAGGGGAUAAAUUGUUAGGUUGUAUUGGGAUGUUUACCUUGUAGGUGUCCCACGGGACCACCAAUUUAUUUUGCACCUUCGGGAGCAUUUGACUGAUAUGUGUUUCUGCAGAACACUUGACUGAUAUGUACGUCCCCUCGGGGCGUUAGACUGAUAUGUACGUCCCUCGGGGCGUUAGACUGAGAUGUGUAUCCUACGGGAUCACAAGACUGCGACUGUACAGGGUGUCCCAAUAGAACUUUAAUAAUUUAUUUUCCCCUGACGAGACCAGUAGAGGGUCUCUUACUGAGUAUUGUUAUACUCACCCUUCUUAUGUUUAAUUUUCAGGCAAAGGAAAUAAAGGUGGCAAACCGGCGAGGGGCAGGAAGGAAGCGUGAUUGCCAUAGGGAAUGUGUUAUUUUGCUUCCGCUUAUGAUUUCUUUUAAGGUUUAAGAUGUACUAAAACUUAGUUUACAAACUUUUAUUUGUAAAUAGUGUUAUUGUUAAGUUUUCUUGAAUAUUUGAAAAUCAGGUCUGACAUGUUUUGUUUUUAAAUUGACUUAUGUUUCAAUUUGUAUCAACCAAAGUCUUUUGUCAAAAAAAAAUUAACGACCUCGACUUACCCAAAAAAGUUGGGUCGUUACAGUUGGUAUCAGAGCCUAAGUUUUAGGUUCUGUAGAUUGACUUACGAUGUAAGUCUAUGUUUUUGUGUUCCUAUGGCUAACGCGACCCUUCGUCUCUCGUCAGGUAUGCUUGAUGCUUAUAUGUAUGGUUUAUUUGCAUGACCUUGCCUAAAUUAAACUAGAUUGCAUGACGAUAAAGACUUGCUUAUGUUUAUGAUUAAGAUUUUGUUAAAGAGUGUUGUUGGUGGAUAAUAGGAAUUAUGCCGCCAAGGGAAGAAGUACGUAGAGGAGGUCGUAGAGGCCGAGGUAGAGGAGCAGGAGGCCGAGGUAGAGGAGCAGGUCGUAAUCAGCCUACUGAGGGUCAAGCUGAACAACAAAUUCUUGCUGCACCCGUGACUCACGUUGAGUUUGAUGCACUGUCUGCUCACAUGGAGCAGAGGUUUACAGAACUUAUGACAGCUAUAGCUCAAAACCAGCAGGCACCUGCGGUCCCACCUGCACCUGUGGUUCCCCCUGCACCAGCAGCUCCUCCUGCCACAAGAAUUACCUAACCAACUUUCUGCUGAGGCGAAACAUUUGAGGGACUUUCGGAAGUAUGACCCUCAGACGUUUGAUGGGUCACUGGAGGAUCCUACUAAAGCUGAAAUGUGGUUGUCCUCUGUGGAAACCAUAUUUAAUUACAUGAGAUGUCCCGAGGAGCACAGAGUUCAGUGUGCUGCUUUUUCUACUGAGGGACAGAGGCAUUAUUUGGUGGAGGACUACAAUGCGCAUGCUAGGUGGAGAUGUGAGGCAGAUUACCUGGGAUCAGUUUAAGAACUGCUUCUAUACCAAGUUUUUCUCGGCUAACCUUAGAGACGCCAAAAGCCAGGAAUUCUUGGAGUUGAAGCAAGGAUAUAUGACAGUCGAGGAGUACGACCAGGAGUUUGAUAUGCUGUCACGUUUUGCCCCUGAGCUUGUUAGUAAUGAGCAGGCUAGAGCUGAUAGGUUCGUCAAGGGAUUGAGGGAUGAAAUUAGGGGCUUUGUGCGAGCACUAAAGCCCACUACCCAAGCUGAAGCACUGCGUCUGGCAGUGGAUAUGAGCAUUGGGAAGGAUGAAAGACAGCCAAGGAGCUUUAAUAAGGGAUCGUCGUCGGGUCAAAAGAGAAAAGUAGAGCAGAGAACUAUAGGAGUUCCUCAGAGGAACUUGAGACCAAGCGAUCCUUUUCGCAGUUUCCAGCAGAGUUCUGGCGGUGCAGGAGACACUACUCGAGAGAGGCCAGUAUGUAAUACGUGUGGGAAACGCCACCUGGGUCGUUGUUUGAUGGGAACGAGAGUCUGUUAUAAGUGCAAGCAAGAGGGACACAUGGCUGAUAGGUGUCCCUUGAGAUCUACUGGGGCUGGAUCGAGCAGUCAGGGAGAGAGACCUCCACAGCGGGGUACAAUCUUUGCCACUAAUAGAUCAGAGGCAGAGAAGGCCGGCACAGUAGUGACAGGUACAUUACCAGUAUUAGGGCAUUUUGCCUUGACCUUGUUUGACUCGGGAUCUUCUCAUUCAUUUAUUUCAUCGCUUUUUGUGACGCAUGCAUGCUUAGAGGUGGAACCCUUAGACUAUGUUUUGUCAGUGUCUACACCGUCUGGAGAAAUUAUGUUGUCUAAGGAAAAGAUUAAAGCAUGUGAAAUUGAGAUAGCUGGUCGUGUGCUGGACGUAACCUUGUUGGUAUUAGAUAUGCGUGACUUUGAUGUAAUUUUAGGUAUGGAUUGGCUAGCUACUAAUCAUGCUAGUAUUGAUUGUUCUCGUAAGGAAGUUGUGUUCAGUCCCCCUACUGCAUCUAGCUUUAAAUUCAAGGGGUAGGAACAGUAGUACUGCCUAAAGUAAUCUCAGCUAUGAAAGCUAGUAAACUACUCAACCAGGGUACUUGGAGUAUUUUGGCAAGUGUGGUGGAUACUAGGGAAGGUGAGACUUCUUUAACUUCAGAACCUGUGGUAAGAGACUACCCAGAUGUAUUUCCAAAAGAUCUUCCAGGACUACCGCCACAUAGAGAGGUUGAUUUUGCCAUUGAGUUGGAGCCAAACACUACUCCUAUUUCUAGAGCCCCUUAUAGGAUGGCUCCUGCUGAGUUGAAAGAACUGAAGGUACAGUUACAGGAAUUGCUUGACAAAGGCUUUAUUCGACCUAGUGUGUCACCUUGGGGUGCACCAGUAUUGUUUGUGAAGAAGAAGGAUGGGUCGAUGCGUCUUUGCAUUGACUAUAGAGAGUUGAAUAAAGUAACAGUCAAGAACAGAUAUCCUUUACCCAGAAUCGAUGAUUUGUUCGAUCAGUUACAGGGAGCCACGGUGUUCUCUAAGAUUGACUUACGGUCAGGUUAUCACCAGUUGAGGAUUAGAGACCGUGAUAUUCCUAAGACUGCUUUUCGUUCGAGGUAUGGACAUUAUGAAUUCAUAGUAAUGUCUUUUGGUUUGACUAAUGCACCUGCUGUAUUUAUGGAUUUGAUGAACAGGGUGUUUAAGGAUUUCUUGGACACUUUUGUGAUAGUCUUCAUUGAUGAUAUUUUGGUUUAUUCCAAGACUGAAGCCGAACAUGAGGAACACUUACAUAAGGUGUUAGAGACUCUUCGAGUCAAUAAACUGUAUGCUAAGUUCUCUAAGUGCGAAUUUUGGUUGAAGCAGGUGGCUUUUCUUGGUCAUGUGGUUUCCAGUGAGGGAGUUUCAGUAGACCCUUGCAAAGAUAGAAGCGGUUACCAGUUGGUCUCGACCCUCUACAGUUAGUGAGGUUCGUAGUUUUCUGGGUUUAGCAGGGUACUACCGGAGGUUUGUGGAGGAUUUUUCACGUUUGGCUACUCCUUUGACUCAGUUGACAAGGAAGGGAACUCCGUUUGUUUGGAGUCCAGCUUGUGAGGAUAGUUUUCAGAACCUUAAGCAAAGGUUAGUUACUGCACCGGUCCUUACUGUACCAGAUGGAUCUGGAAGUUUUGUGAUUUACAGUGAUGCUUCCAAGAAAGGACUGGGUUGUGUUUUGAUGCAGAAAGGUAAGGUGGUUGCUUAUGCCUCUCGUCAGUUGAAGAGUCACGAGCAGAACUACCCCACACAUGAUUUGGAGUUGGCAGCAGUGGUUUUUGCAUUGAAGAUAUGGAGACAUUACUUGUACGGUGAAAAGAUACAAAUCUUUACUGACCAUAAGAGCCUAAAGUACUUCUUCACUCAGAAGGAGUUGAAUAUGAGACAGCGAAGGUGGCUCGAGUUGGUAAAAGAUUAUGACUGUGAGAUAUUGUACCAUCCUGGUAAGGCGAAUGUGGUGGCUGAUGCUCUUAGUAGAAAAGUAUCACAUUCGGCAGCACUCAUUACUAGACAGGUACCAUUGCAUCGAGACUUGGAGAGAGCUGAGAUUGCAGUGUCUGUGGGGAGAGUCACCUCACAGCUAGCUCAAUUAACGGUGCAACCGACUCUGAGGCACAAGAUUGUUGAUGCUCAGAGUAAUGAUCCUUAUUUGAUGGAGAGACGUCGCCUUGUUGAAACAGGGCAGACUGAUGAGUUCUCCAUAUCCUCUGAUGGUGGGUUGAUGUUUGAGAGACGUUAUGUGUGUGCCAGCGAACAGUACAGUUAAGAUUGACUUACUAGAUGAAGCCCAUAAUUCCCCAUUUUCCAUGCAUCCUGGUAGCACGAAAAUGUAUCAGGAUCUAAAACGAUUUUAUUGGUGGCGGAAUAUGAAAAGGAAGUGGCGGAAUUUGUUAGUAAGUGUCUAGUAUGUCAGCAAGUUAAGGCACCUAGACAGAAACCAGCAGGUUUGUUACAACCUUAAGUGUGCCAGAGUGGAAGUGGGAGAAUGUGUCGAUGGAUUUUAUUUCAGGGCUGCCUAAGACCCUGAAGGGUUUCACAGUGAUUUUGGUUGUCAUAGACAGGCUUACGAAAUCGGCACAUUUUGUACCAGGAAAAUCCACUUAUACUGCUAGUAAGUGGGCAGAGUUGUAUUUAACUGAGAUUGUGAGACUGCAUGGAGUGCCUGUAUCGAUUGUUUCUGAUAGGGAUGCACGGUUUACUUCCAAGUUUUGGAAGGGACUUCAGACUGCUAUGGGUACGAGAUUGGAUUUCAGUACAGCCUUUCAUCCACAGACUGAUGGUCAAACUGAACGUUUGAACCAAGUUUUAGAGGAUAUGCUACGAGCUUGUGUUAUAGAGUUUCCAGGUAGUUGGGACUCUCAUCUACAUUUGAUGGAGUUUGCUUAUAACAACAGUUUCCAGGCUACCAUCGGUAUGGCACCAUUUGAGGCUUUGUAUGGCAAAUGUUGUAGAACCCCUGUUUGUUGGAGUGAGGUUGGUGAACAUAGAUUGAUGGGACCUGAAUUAGUUCGGUCUACUAAUGAGGCUAUUCAAAAGAUUAGAGCACGUAUGCAAACAGCGCAGAGUAGACAGAAGAGUUAUGCGGAUGUACGGCGAAAAGACCUUAAGUUCGAUGUGGGAGAAAAGGUAUUCUUGAAGGUAGCACCUAUGAAGGGUGUUAUGCGUUUUGAGAAGAAAGGGAAGUUAAGUCCUCGUUUUGUUGGACCAUUUGAGAUCUUAGAGAGGGUUGGUGUUGUGGCGUAUCGCUUGGCAUUACCACCAUCACUCUCUGCAGUCCAUAAUGUUUUCCAUGUUUCGAUGUUGAGGAAGUAUGUGGCCGAUACAUCUCAUGUAGUGGACUAUGAACCCUUGGAGAUUGAUGAGCAUUUGAGCUAUGUAGAACAACCUGUGGAGAUUCUGGCUAGAGAGGUAAAGAUGCUUCGUAAUAGAAGCAUUCCAUUAGUAAAGGUUUUGUGGCGGAAUCAUCGAAUUGAAGAGGCGACAUGGGAGCGAGAAGAAGAGAUGAGGACUCGUUAUCCAGAGUUAUUUCAGGAUUAGAACUUUCGAGGACGAAAGAUUCUUAAGGGGGAAGAAUGUAAAGUCCCAAAGGUAAAAAUAUAUAUUAUAUAUACAUUUUUAUUUUCUUUUCUUUUCUUUUUCUUUUCUUUUCUCUCUUCUCCUUCCUCCCCGUGCGUUCUCCUUCCGUUCGCAGCAAGCAGCCGCUGACCAUCCCUUCUCCUCUCCGUUCCGCCAGAUCGAGCCGAACUCAACCGCAACAUCUGUUUCUUCCUCCGUUCACCGAAGCCGAACCCACUUUCUUUCUUCUUCGAUCAAAAACUGUCGCUGUAACCGUCGGCCGCCGCGUAACUUUCCGUCCAGAUCUGCACCGCAAGACCUUCCGCCGUUGCAACCGUUGCUCUCUUUCUCCGCUGCCCCAGCCGUCUCAGUCGGUUCUGUCUCCGUCGAAGCCACGGUUCUGCAACCGUCUCCGCCGGUUCUGUCUUCGUGAAGCCCUGCCGCGCAACCUCUGUUUCGAGCCGCCGCCCAUUCCGUUCUCCUCUGUUUUCUGCACUGCCGCGCGACUCUCCGACCGCGUCAGAUCGUUGAUCGAUUUUGAGGCAGCCGCCACGUCUCCUUUGGCCGACCGCUGACCGACCCACACUUAGGAUUUUUGCUGCGAGUCCGACAGUCGUGCGUUGAGGUGUGCUGCUGUCUCUGUUUUACAAUUUUAUCGAGGUUGCUUUGUUGGUAACAACUUAAGUAUGAAUGGUAAUUGGUUUCAAAGUGGUUCAAGUGUUAUGGUUGGAAUGUUUAGCUAAUUUGUUAAUUGGUUCUUGAAGGUGUUGGGAGUAAUGUUGGGCUCCCUUAAAUUCACAACCAAUUUGUGAAUUGUUGUGAUGAUUGUGAGGGUUCAGUUCGCCAAUAUGUCGGUGAGUUGGAACUUACGUUGAGGAAAGUAAGUGAGAUAUGUAUCGUGGAAGUAAUUGAAUUUUGUGUUGUUGUGCUUAGGAUUGUUUCGAGGACGUUAGUUGAUUAAGGAGCUUCCCCAACUUUGAGGUAAGGGACUUUCUACUGGACUCACCUAAAGUUUUGAGUUGUGUUGGACUGUAUGGAUGAUGAUUAAGAUGUACAUGUUUGUUGGGUUGCAGACUAAAUGUUUAGUGUAUGUUGUAUUUUGACUGGAAACAUAUAUAUAUACAUUGAUGUGUGAAUUGAUGUGGAUUGCCGAAAGUAUACAUGUGAAUGACUGAAAUUAUGCUUAUGUGUACAUGAUGAUAUUUAAUAGAUUGUGCUGUAUAAAGAUUUGGAUGUGAACUAGUGAAUUUGUUUCGGUUGGAUGUGGAUUAUACUGAACUGUGGUUUGUGCUGGUGAACUGAGGGGUGUAUUGACUGUAUAGUUUGAUUGACUGACGUAUUAGUAUAUUAUUGACAGACAUAUGACUAAAGUGAGAUAAGUUGACUGUUAGGACGAGAGAAAAGAACUUUAUGUUUUUGAAGUAACUGAAAGAUGGAUUGAAUGGAAUGAGGGAUAAAUUGUUAGGUUGUAUUGGGAAUGUUUACCUUGUAGGUGUCCCACGGGACCACCAAUUUAUUUUGCACCUUCGGGAGCAUUUGACUGAUAUGUACGUCCCUCGGGGCGUUAGACUGAUAUGUACGUCUCUCGGGGCGUUAGACUGAGAUGUGUAUCCUACGGGAUCACAAGACUGCGACUGUACAGGGUGUCCCAAUAGAACUUUAACAAUUUAUUUUUCCCCUGACGAGCCAGUAGAGGGUCUCUUACUGAGUAGUAUUGUUAUACUUACCCUUCUUAUGUUUAAUUUUCAGGCAAAGGAAAUAAAGGUGGCAAACCGGCGAGGGGCACGAAGGAAGCGUGAUUGCCAUAGGGAAUGUGUUAUUUUGCUUCCGCUUAUGAUUUCUUUUAAGGUUUAAGAUGUACUAAAACUUAGUUUACAAACUUUUAUUUGUAAAUAGUGUUAUUGUUAAGUUUUCUUUGAAUAUUUGAAAAUCAGGCCUGACAUGUUUUGUUUUUAAAUUGACUUAUGUUUCAAUUUGUAUCAACCAAAGUCUUUUGUCAAAAAAAAUUAACGACCUCGACUUACCCAGAAAAGUUGGGUCGUUACAGUAUAUUUAUUAAUCUCUAAAAAGUUUGGUAGUAGUGUGAUCUACAACAGUUUGACAACGAUUUUAAGGAUUAAGAAAAUGUUGGAGUUUGAAAGGAAGAAAUCAAAAAUUUCCAAGAAACAAGCAAACAUAGUAAAGAAGAAAAUGGGAAAUGGUGAAAUGAACGUGUUGCACUAAAAUCCAAGUUUUUAACUGUUUCCAUGUCUUUGCUGCCUUCUCAUAUUUCAAAGGGAGAGAGUUGGUUUCUUGUUUUUGUUAUUAUUUUUUUCCAUAUUGUUUUGUUUUAUGUUGAGCAAUUAAAUUGAAAUAGCAUUCAAGUAUGUUAAUUGAAAAAUAUUGAUCAUUAUUAUUUAAUUCUUGUUUUUUGUUUACUAUAUUGAUAUGUGGAGUUCUAUUCUCUAUUAAUACGCAAGGACUACUCUGGUCAAUUACUGUUCUAUAUCUUUGCUGAAGACAUGAUACUAGUAAUGGUGGCUUGAACAUUUGACAUGAGAAUGAUUACAACACUGCCUCAUGGAAAAUCUUCACGUAAGUUCUUCUCUUCAAUAGUUAAAUAUCUUAUAAGACUAUAAACAUAAAUUGCAUAUUUUCUGAGAUAAGAUGAUAGAUACAUGUCAAAUCUUUCCUUGGUUAUUGAACCUUGGUUAAUGAACACAUGGAUGAGUGGGUAAUGGUUGAGAGAGUCCAAGAUAUAAUGAAUACUUUAGUGAGUCAUGUUGGAUUGCCAGCCGAAGCCAUUUUUUUCUAGGAUUUUCUGGUGAAUAAGUUUGCAUUUCUGCAGAACGAAGAAUUAUAACCAUACACAAAAUCUAAUCAUGAACCGAUAAAACUGGUGGUGGAAAUCCAGUUUUUCAGUUGCAUUUAAAGACACAAAUUUCUACUCAGGAAGAAAAAUGGUAUGUAUAAGGGACAUUUAGUGGCAUAAUGUGAAUUAAAAGACAAUCUUGUUUGUUUUCUAUUUUGAUCUUAGUAUUUACAUUGCUCAAAAUUGGAAAACUUUACUUCAUUGAAAUAGGAAAUUGAAUUUGUCACUUUUGGUUAGUGUUCUUGCACUGCAGCUUUGUUGAGCAGUAUCCAAAUAAAGUUGUUUGUGUGAAGUGAAAAUAAGGAUUAUUGUAAAUUAGUUUAUGGUGUGCAACCAUUGAAAUUGACAUGGAAGACCUGAGAUAUUUAAUAUGGAAAUUACGUACCUUAUUUAAUAUCUGUUUGAUAACCUUUUGUUCUUAUUUUCUCACAACUUUUGUGUGAACUUUUCACCUUCCUUGAAAAUACAUCUGAAUCCUAAGCCAUAUUAAAAAAAAAAAAAGAAACACAAAUGAAGUUUGUAAAAAACUACCUAUUUUAGCUUUCUCACUUUUGACAUGCUUUUUGUCCUUUUGAAAACGUUUUCUUUAUUAAAAGAAGUUGGUGAAUUACACAUAGUGAAAGUAGUGUUUAUAAGCUUAAUCUAACUUUUCUUGACAAGGGAAAAAUGUCCUAAUAUACGAAUUCCUUACAUUAUUGUAACUGUCGUCAAUAUAAAAAGAUGAUAUUUAUUUUUAAAAAAACUAUCACGAUUGACAUAUUCUUGAAAUAUAAAAAAUGUCAUAAUGAACGAAUUCGGGACAUUUUUGUAACUGUCGUUAAUAUGCAAAUGAUAAUAGUUAUUUGUUGUCUAAAAUAAAAUAUGAUAGUUAUUUGUUGUCAUAAAAUAGUAAUUAUUAACAUUUAUUUUCUGUUAUGAAAAAAAUUAUUGUGACAGUAUUUUCAAACUGUCAUGGAAGGACUUUCCACAACAGGGGAUACUACGACUGUAAAUAACUAUCACAGAUUUUGUUCACGACAGAAAAUAACUGUCGUAGUAGACCAUUUUUGUUGUAGUGCUUUUUCAUGAAGAAUUCAGGAACUAAAAACGACGAGAAGUAGGUUAAAUUUCAGGAUCAAAAUUGAAAGUAAGCAAAAAGAUGUGAGUUUGCUUUAUCGUGUUUCGAUCGAAUUGUGUGUUAACCUAUCAGGAAUCUCAUUUCAAUUUCUUCAACUUAGUUGUAGAAGGUUCCAAAAUGAAGAGUUUGAUAUAAAAUACAUAAUUUUCUAUUUAAGUAUUGAAGAACUUAUGACUAGUUGAAUUUAACCUUCUAAAGUUGAAACUUACUGGAAAAGUAUGGAAUUAAAGACCACUAAGAUUGAUUUAUGUUGGUUGUUUAUGGUGUUAAGACUUUUAAGUUGAAGCUAAGCGUUCAAAAAGUAUAAUUUUAGCCUAAAUUAAAAUAUGUAGGGUUUGAUAUAAAUUAAAGAUGAAAAUGAGAAUUUAAGCCUUUAUAAAAUAAAUAGCUUAAAUUAUAGUAACGAAAUUGGGGUAAGCGUAUAAUCCUCGCAGAACGAGUUCUGUUUUUUACUAUGAAUGGUUACUUUCAAACAUUUGAUACGAAAAUUGUUUACUUUGGUUUUAUCGAUGAGGACGUUUGGUUUGUUUAUUAAGAAAACUCUGUUUUAGCUUUAAAUUGCUGGAAAAAGUAUGAAACAUAAUUAUAGAUGUUGGUUUAUGGUAAUGGAAUGUAAAGGUUGGUUUCCAAACCACAAAACCAAUGUACUAAGGUGAUUUUACUCGUAGGCUACGUAAAUGUAUUUUCGUAGUGUCACCUAUGGUUGUCAGGAGGUUCUGGGGCUGAAAGAGGUCGUGACCGAAGAUCCGAGAACCUGAGCCUAGGUGAGGAUAUGGAGGGAGGAGAAUUGAGAUAUGGCUUCGGGCCUAUUAUAACCCAUGGUGGGUGUCUUUUUUACACAAAGGAGCGGGUUCAUGUUGUUACUGUGGUAAGCUAAUAAUGCGUGGACUCCGUUUGGGCACGUGUUUCCUUGUGGUUAUGGAUCACAUGUGAGCUAUUCUGGGUCGUGUGUUUAGUAUGCUAUCGUGGUCGAAUUAGAUGGAUGUUACUAUUGUGGCGGGUACUAAAUAUGUGUGACCCAGUUGUGGCUGCAUGAUUCCUUGAUCAUGUGCGUGCUACUCUUGGCCGUAUGUUUAGACGUCUUUCCAUGAUCGGAUUGGCUACAGGUUGGUUGGUUGGUUGAUUGGGGAAAAUGUGAUUAUAAUGUUUUAUUUAAUACAUUAUUUAUCGAUGCGUAUUUACACAUCUUAUGAAGCAUAUUUUUACGUGUAUUUGUAUCAAAUUACUUGCUACUCACUAAGCAUUCGCUUAUUUUUCAAUAUUUUCUCUCCCUUCCCAAGUAACAACCCAGGACCAAGCUUUGUUUCAGCUUAGUCGUUCUUGUAGAUCUUCAAUUUCUUUUUUUUUUUUUUUUUGUGUGUAUAGUUUAAACUUUUGUAAUUCAUCACUGUGGUUUAGUCUCAUCUAGAGAGACAAUGUGGACUUGUGUUUUGGAAGAUCCCUAAUUAGUUUGAAUACUUAUGUAUGUAAUAAGUAGUUUGCACCUUAUAUUGUACUUGAAGUUUUGAUUCGAUGUGAAUGUGUGUGGUGAGACACUAGUUGUAUGUAGUAUCUGAAUUCCGUUUCAAAUUUUAUAGAAGUAGAAAUUACUACAUUUUCAGGUGUUGUUCCCUCAUAUUUUAUGGGAGGUGUUGUCAACAUUAUUAUACUUUACUCUUGAAAAGGGUGUGUUAUUAAUCUUACGUUUUCAAAGCAUGUUUUAACGAGUAGGCUGACACCAGCAUCUUUUUAAAGAGGGAAGUUUUAGAACGGGGAGUGAAAGCUUGUUUCUAAAUACACUAUAUAUAUGCAUGGACAUAUAAUAUUUAUAAUAGUAAGUAUUAUUAUUAUUAUUAUUAGCUUAUUAUGCUCAAUACUUCAAGGGAAGUGACAAGAAAUGAAUCAGACAUCUAAAGUUGUGAUCGAAUUGGAUGCAAUAAAAGUUGCUUUAUAGAGGAGGUAGGGGAUUAUCGUUAUGAUAUCACUAAACAUUACUUUGUGGAUGGAACAUAAUAGAGGGGGAGGCGGUGGGAUGACCAUUGGGGGAUUAUCAACGAUGUUCUAUUUUAAAGGUGAAUGUCAUGUGGUGGAGGAGGAGGGGAAUAACCAUUUGAGGGCCGCCAACAUCAGAAUCAAAAUGAUGGUGUGGUGGAGGGAGUGGAAUGAUCAUUUGCAGGCCACCUAUGUCAGAAUCAAGAUGAUGGUGUGGAGGAGGGGGUGGAAUGACCAUUUGAGGCCCGCCAACAUCAGAUUGUGGAUGUUUGUGCGGGAGGAGGUGGUGGAAUGACCAUUUGAGGGCCACCAACAUCAGAAUCAAGAUGAUGGUGUGGAGGAGGGUGGUGAGAAUGAGAACCAUUUGAGGACCGCCAACAUCAGAUUGUGGUUGUUUGUGCGGAGGAGGUGGUGGGAUGACCAUUUGAGGGCCACCAACGUCCGAAUUAAGAUGAUGGGUGUGGAGGAGGGGGUGUGAAUGACCAAUUGAGGGCCACCAACAUCGGAUUGUGGAAGCUUUUGUGCGGUGGAGGAGGAGGGAUAACCAUUUGAGGGCCGCCAACAUCGGAAUCAAGAUGAUGGUGUGGUGGAGGUGGUGGAAUGACCAUCUGUGGUCCACCAACGUCUGAAUCAAAAUGAUGGUGUGGUGGAGGGAGUGGAAUGAUCAUUUGCAGGCCACCUAUGUCAGAAUCAAGAUGAUGGUGUGGAGGAGGGGGUGGGAUGACCAGUUGAGGCCCGCCAACAUCAGAUUGUGGAUGUUUGUGCGGUGGAGGUGGUGGGAUGACCAUUUGAGGGCCACCAACAUCGGAAUCAAGAUGAUGGUGUGGCGGAGGGGGUGGAAUGACCAUUUGAGGUCCGCCAACAUCAGAUUGUGGGUCAACAUGAAGCAACACUGUAAAUACACAAACAAAGAAUUAGAAUACAUGCAUACGUGAUAUAUGUAUAUGUAUAUAUAUACAAACGGAAAAUAAUAUUCUUGUAUACGUACCACGACAAUGUGACAUUGUGGCUAUGGAUAAAAGCGAUAGAAAAAGAAGAUAAAUUCUUUGUGUUUUCUCCAUAUUGGUCACUAGAAAAUGGAGAAUAGAAGAUUAAUCUUGUGGAAAUGGAUGGAGGAACGAAGGGUUUAUAUAAGAUGGCUUUGUGGGCCAAAACAAGAAUUAUAGUUUAAUCAUAAUCGGUACGCAACUCAAUAAAAUUGAAAUUGAUAAAGUUAUACCCAAGCAGUUUUAGUGGUCCAUUUUAAUGCCUAAAACUCAACAAUCUUAACUUUCAUCUAAAAACAUCCAAUAUCGUGCUUAAGAGAAUUUAAUUACUACUUAGAGAAAUUAAAUGAGAAUAACAAAAAGAAGUUAUCCGUGAAAAAAAUAAUUUCAUAUGCUCGUAUUACCAUAAAUCUUCCAACAAUAACCUUCUGUAAAAAAAAACACAAAAUCUUAGUUAAUGAUGGUAGUUUUAACAGUUUAUGUCAAUGGAUAUCAGUGCAUUUUGAGAACUAAAAAAUCCAUCGUCCAAUUCCUCCGCCUCUCCAAUUUGUCCUAAAAACAAUUUUAAAAGUAAAAAGUAAAUUUUUGGGAACUUUUAAUCAAAAAAAAAAAAAAAAAGAAACAAAGGAAAAAGGAAAAAAGAAAAGAUUGUAUGAAUUAAUUAUUGAUGGUUGUCUUAAAACCAUCGAAACAAGCAAUACUCUACAAAGAAGUAAAUUUUAUCGCUCGUAGGUCUAUGGCUUGAAUCUCUCAUCUUCUAUUGAUAUUGAAAAAAUGCAAUAUCAUCAACAAUUUAUGAGCAUAAUCGUCGUAGGAUAGAAUAAGACAUGUAUCACGAGAACCUUUUAAGCUGUCGAACUCGCCUCUCUUCGUAUCAAACAAAUGAAUCCAAACUGCGAAAGAUUGUACUAUGUUGUAAUGACAUAAUGUUGUUUUCGUCUUGGACUUCACAAAACAUGAAUCCUUUAGGAUUCAGACUUCCAAUUGCAGCAACUCACAAUCAUAGAGAAAUUUGUCCGGACUUGUAAACACCUACAAUUCCUUAAGUCUUAACAAGAGAAAAUCAUAGCUUUUACUUGGUUUGCAAAUACAAUAAGUUGUACUGAAUCAUUGUUAAUUAACAAAUAGAUAGAACAAUAGACUAAUGAAUAAAUUGAUGUUUACUAUAAGUUGAUGAUAUUUAAAAAAAAAGAUGAAAGAAUGGAUUGACAAAUAAAGAAGUGUUUGAUAAAUAUGAUAAGAAAUGAAAAGAUAACAACGAUUCUUGGAAUAGGAGUACAAAGAGAGGAGGUAAGGGACAAUUUAUACAUAUGAAAUAACAUUCUAAGAACUAAAUGUAAGUUUCCUAGAAAUACCCUUGACUUCUUUCAACACUACGAAAUUUUCUAUGAAAAGGCCUCACGCAUAAUAUCUUCGAACAUAAUCUGAAUUCACAUGAUUUUUUUAGCUUAACACCAUCCAUAUUGGUUAAAAGCAAAGCUCCUCCUGGAAAACUCUUUUCACCACAAACGAACCUUCAUAAUUAGGAGUCCAUUUUUCUCGAUGAUCCUUUUGAAAUGAAAAUAUCCUUUUUAAUGCCAAAUCUCCUUCUCAAAAACUUCGAGGGUGCAAUUUUUUAUUGUAUGCUCGCAUUAGUCUUCUUUGGUAAAGUUGUCUGUGACUUAAUGCUGCCAAACAUUUUUUUUUCAAUGAAAUUCAACUGCUCAUAACGACAUUCAACUUCAUCUAACUUAGCUUCCAUGAUAACUCUCAAUGAAGGUAUCUUAAGUUCUAAAGGUAGGACAACUUUUAUACCAUAAACCAAAUAAAAUGGUGUUGCCCCUGUUGAAGUAUGAACUGAUGUAUGAUAUCCAUGCAGUGUAAAUGGUAAAAUUUCAUGUCAAUCUUUGUAUGUUGUUGUCAUCUUCUCAAUGACUCUUUUAAUAUUUUUGUUGGCUGCCUCAACUGCCACAUUAUCUUGGGGUGAUAUGGAGUCGAAUUUCUGUGAUUGAUCUUGAAUUUCUCACAAAGUUCGUCCAUCAUUUUGUUAUUAAGGUUCUUGGUAUUAUCUGUAAUAAUACCCUCUGGUAGACCAUAACGACAGAUCAACUCUUUUUGAUAAACUUGAGCACCACUCCUUUUGUAACAUUGCAGUAAGAUGUUGCCUCUAAUCAUUUAGUGAAGUAAUCAAUCGCCACAAGAAUAAAAUGUUGAUCAUUUGAGGCUUUAGGAUCAAUAGGUCCAAUAACAUCCAUUCCCCAUAAAGAAAACGACCAUGGUGCUGACAAGACAUGCAAUGGAGAUGCUGCUGCAUGAAUCUUAUCCAUAUAAAUUUGACACUUUUUACAUUCUCUUGCAUAUUUUAUACAGUCUGAUUCCAUCGUUGUCCAAUAAUAACCAGAUCUAAGUAUUUGUCUAGGCAUAAUAUGUCCGUUCGCAUGUGUUCCACAUAUUCCUUCAGGAAUUUCUGUCAUAAUUUGUUUUGCUUCUUCCACAUCAACACAUCGAAGGAGUACCAUAUCAUGGUUUCUUUUAUAAAGAACUUUACCACUUAAGAAAAAGUUCAUGGUCAACCUUCUUAUUGUGCGCUUGUCAUUCUCUGAAGCUCCAUAUUUCUCUACAAUUUAUGUAUUGCUUGAUAUCAAAAUACCAUGGCUUAUUAUAAUACAGGUGGGCUCUGCAAAUACUGCUUAAUUUUGUUGAAAGCUUCUUCACAAUCCUCAUUCUAUUUUCUUGGAUUGUUUUUACGUAAAAGCUUGAAGAUUGGUUCGCAGGUUGAAGUUAAAUGCGAGAUAAAUCUGGAUAUGUAAUUUAGUCUUUCAAGAAAAUCUCGAACUUCUUUUUCUGUUUCAGGGGAUGGCAUGUCCAUGAUAGACUUCACUUUAUCUGGGUCUACUUUGAUCCCUUCUUCACCGACAAUGAAUCCGAACAGUUUUCCCGAGGUUGCCCCAAAUGUACAUUUGGAUGGAUUUAAUUUCAAUUGAUACUUUCUCAACCAAUUAAAUAAUUUUUGGAGUAUAGUUGUAUGAUCUUCAUUUGCUUUGGAUUUUGCAAUCAUAUCAUCAACAUACACCUCUAUUUCCUUAUGCAUCAUAUCAUGAAAAAGUGUAACCAUUGCUCACUGAUAUUUGCCCCAGCAUUUUUUUGAACCAAAAGGCAUUACUUUGUAGCAGAAUGUUCUCCAACGGGUAAUGAAUGUUGUUUUUUUUUUUUAUCUUCUUCAGUCAUUUUAAUUUGAUUAUAUUCUGAAAAACCAUCCAUGAAGGAGAAAGUUGAGUAUCCUGCAGUGUUAUCCACCAACAUGUCGAUAUGAGGUAAAUGGAAGUUGUCUUUGGACAAGCUCGAUUUAAAUCUCUAUCCAUACACAUUCUCACUUUUCUGUCUUUUUGUUUGCUUUUUGGAUACUGGAACAAUGUUUUCCACUCGUUCAGGAUAUUUGGAGACUGUGAGGAACACUGUUUCGAAUUGUUUAAGUACUUCCCUUUUAUUUUAAACAAUAUAUCAAGCUUCAUUUUACGUAGCUUUUGUCUUACUAGGUUGCAUUCUGGCUUCAAAGGAACACGAUGUACUACAAUAUCCGUAUUUAACCCCGCAUAUCCUGAUAACUCCAAGCAAAAUAUCUGAGUACUCACGUAACAAAUUGAUUAUUUUUUUUCGAGUUUCACUGGUCAUUGAUGUGCCAAUUUUUACCUCUUUUAAUUCCUCCUGAGAACCCAAAUUGAUUACUUCAACUAGCUCUUGGUGAGGACCUAAGACCUUAUCUUCUUCUUCUACUAAUCUUAACAGUUCUGAGGAUAUUCUCCCAGCAUUUUCAUCGUCACUCUCUUUGUCAGAUUCCAUAGUGUAUAUUAAGGUAUCAAGGGUAGAACUGGAAUUACUAACAUCUUCGUUCUUAUGAAUGUUGUCUAUGAAAAAGUUUGGACUUUUGUGUUUAAUUUGCAAGAUGCAAGAAAGAAAGCAGAGAGAAGAAGUUGGAAAGAACGAAAGGAAAAUGCGAAGAUUUCAUUAAAUAACAAAUAAAACAGUACAUUCAUAUUGUAAAGCAAAUAAAACAUUGUGGCCUUGUGUAGAGCCACUAUAAAAUAAAAGGAAUUUGACAAAUAAAAGCUUAAUCAUUACUCUUGAAAUUCUUUUGAAAAUGUAGGUAUAUCUACAACAUCCCAAGUAUUAAGCUCGAAAUCAGGUGGACAUGCAUAAACUGUUUCUCCUUCAUUUUUGCACUUUUGAAACAAAGCAAUCUACAAUGUUCACUUUUGGAUUUUCAUGAUUAGGCAGUGGAUUGUUGUUGACAUCCGGCUUCUCACCAACUUUUUUGAAGCUUAACCAUCCAUCAUUAAUCAAAGAUUGCACAUUCCUUUUUAAAGCCAAACAAUUUUCAAUUGAGUGUCCUGCUCCUUCGGCAUAAUAAUCACAUCGAGCAUUUGAAUCAUAUCAUUUUGGAUAAGGAGAUUGUAUAGGAUUCAUUGGGAUAGGAGCUAACUGUCGAUUUUGAAUUAGAUGAGGUAAAAGUUCUGUAUAUGUCAUGGAAAUUGGAUCAAAUUGUCAUGUAUCUGAGUUGGUCUCGCUACUUUGACCUUGUACAAAUGGUUGAGAAGAGUUUGAAUUAAUAGGCUUUUGGGCUCUAGAGAAAGAGUGAGUUGGUACAUAGUUGUUAUGUGGGACAUGAGAAACAUUGCUUAUAUAUGAAGGAAAACUUUGGUCAUGUUUUCUUUGGCCAAAAGUUGAUUUGUGGUUCCCUAAAUUAGGAAAACCAAAUGCAUGAACCUUAUCUUCUUUCUUCUUAGAUGUUGUUCCUUUCUUUAAUCCCUCAUACUCAGCUGAAGCCUCUGCUAAUCUCCCGUGCUUUAUCGCAUAUUCAAUUCUUUCACCAAUAACAAUAAUGUCACAAAAAUUGGUUGUAGCAUUACCAAUCAUUCGAUCAUAGAAUGGAGCCCGCAAAGUAUUCAUAUACAUAGACGUCAUUUCUUUGUCUGUUAAUGGUGGUUGAACCUCCGCGACCAUAUCUCUCCAUCGUUGAGCAUAUUCUUUAAAGUUUUUGAAUUCUUCUUCUUCAUACGUUGCAAGUCUAAACGAUCUGGAGCCAUAUCAAUAUUAUGUUUAUAUUGCUUUAGAAAUGCAUCAGCUAAAUCCUUCCAAACAUGAAUGUGUGUAUUAUCUAAUUGAAUAUACCAUCGAGUAGCUGGACCAGUCAAACUGUCCUGAAAGCAAUGGAUCAACAAUUUAUCAUUACCAAUAUGCAUUGUCAUCUUUCUACAAUACCUUAUAAGAUGACUCCUUGGACACGAUGAUCCAUCAUAUUUGUCAAAUUCGAGAACUUUAAACUUUGCUGGAAUGAUCAAGUCUGGCACUAAGCACAACUGUGUUGCUUCUAUAUUUCCAUAAACAUCAGUCCCUUCAAUUGCUCGCAAUCUUUCUUCCAAAACAUCUAGUUUUUGCUUAGCCGAAGUGUUCUCAUUUUGCCUUAUGUCUUGAAUUUUAGCCUGAGCUUCCAAUUGUUCUAUAUCUGGGACAGGAGGUGGAACAUCAAAAAGUGGAUUCAUAGCAACAUAGUGUCGAGCAGUUUGAGACUGUGUAACGUUCAUGUGGCGUGACAUAAAUCUUGGGGGAUAAAUGGGAUCAUUGGUGUCUUGAAUUGGAUUGCUUGAUUGUGCUGUUUCUAUGACGACUUUUCCUUUUCCUAUUGAAAGCAAUUCCAGUAUUUUUGAAACUUGUUCCCCAAGACUAUUAAUAUCUUGUCUCAUUUUAUCCAUGUCUUUAUCUUGUUCUUCUUCGAUUCGACUUUUAUGCAUCGUAUUGUAAGGAUGAUGAAUUGGAGUAGGGUGAGCUAUGUUUUACUUUGAUUAUUUUGAAAACUUUGAAGACUAAAGAGCAAGGGAAGAAAGAGAAAGAAAAAAUUAAAAAAUUUAAAAUUUAAAAUUUAAAAUUUAAAAAUUAAAAAUCAAAAAUCAAAAAUCAAAAAUCAAAAAUCAAAAAUCAAAAAUAAAAAAAAAAAAGAAAAAACAUGAAAAGAAAAGAAAUAAGAAUUUUAUGUACUUUAGCUUAAUUGUUUUUUAAUAUUUAGUUAAUUUUAGAAUAUAUAAAGGUUUUCAUGUACCUCUACAAUGUAAACAUUACUUUCUUUAAAGUAUUGCAUGAAGCCAAAUGACCCAAUUUCUAGGGAACUAAGAUAAAUAAAAUUUAAAUAUCAAACUCAAAAUAAUAAUAAUAUAGAAAAUACUGUUAUUGAAAUUCUUUUUUUUAAAUGAAAUAUGUAUUAUUUAAAAUUUUAGGAAAAUGUGAAACUUUGUUAAAAUAAAUAAAUAAAAAUAAUUUGAAUAUUUGACUUUUGGAUAAAAUAUGUCAAAAAGAAACUGACAUGGUGUUGGUAUCAUCUAAACUCUUAGAAAUUAAAGGUCUUCAAACUUAUUCUAAUGUUAUUUAAGAAAUAACAAAAGAAUUAAUCUGAGCGAGGAUUUUUCAUGUGCCUACACGGGAGUCGAAACCCCUCGAAGGUCAACACUACUCCAUCCUCAAUUCUAGUCCUAUAAGGUUGUAGCCCGGGUAGAGGGCUUGUGAGUGUGUGUAAAUGCAUGUUGGAAAAAAAAUGUACCAAUAACAUAGUACAAAAUAUUACAUAUGAAUCAAUAAAAAAAAAAUAAUUAAGUGAACCAACAUAUAUAUAAUAUAAUAAGAAUAAAAGAUAAAAAUGUACUGGCUUGACUCUCUUACACAUUGCAAUGUCCCCAGUGGAGUCGCCACGCUGUCGCGACGUGAUCGCUACGCGGAGCGGCCGACCUCCCCGUUUAUUUAAUUUUAAUAAAUAGUUUUGGAGUCGCCACCAACCAUAUUAGGGUGUGAUUGGUCACCCAAAAAAAAAGGAAAAAAAAAAAAUGGUCUGCGUACAUUCAGAGAUUUAAGUUCGGGAGUCAGUUGUAUGUAGGGAAGGUGUUAGCACCCUACAACACCCAAAAAAUGGUUACCCAAUUUUAUCUUUUAAAUUAAAUUAUAGAGGUUCACAAAACAAAGUUUUUAUUUAGGUUUUGUUUAAAUGUCCCAUGUUUAUCAAUUCAUAUCGAAGAAAGUAAAACCUAAGCAUGAAUUGAUGAUUAUGGUGGCAUAGGAGCCAUUAGAAAAAUUAAGUUUAUUUUUGUUUUAAAAGAUUUUUAUUCACCUUAAGAAUAUUAAGAUACCAAAACUUGAUAUUUUAAUCUCUAUCAUAGGUGUUUAAUGAAAAAUUUCAUAUAUCUAGAAUUAAUAAAUUCAUAGAAAAUACUACUCAGUCUCAUUUAAAAUAUGAAAUGUGUUAAUUUAAAAAAAACAAUCUAUUAAUUAAAUUUCAAACGGAAAAAUUUCAUGUAUUUAUGGAUUUUAAAUUAUAAAAUCCAUAAAAAACAAUACUUUUUCUCCAAUUUACAUUAUUAUAUUUAAAUAAAAAAAGAAUAAUAACAAUGGCAAAACAGUAUGAAAUUUGAAAAAUACUUAGAAGUAAUAUGCUGAGAUAAAAUAAAUACAUUGAUAAUAUAUGCAAAAUGUAAAAGAUAUUAAUGUAGGAUGCAAGAUAAUUAAUUAAUACAGCAAAAUAAUUGAUUAAUGCAUAAUUAAACGAGGGCCAAAUGGAUAUCAAAUAAUAAUUAACAGUUGAAUGCCAAAGUAGGUUUGGCCCAAUAUGCAAAUAAAUAAUAUUGCAAAUAAAUAAUCACACCAAAAUGAAUAUCAAAUAAUUAUAGCCACAUAUGCAUACUGAUUAAUUAAUACAUCAUGCAAAUAAUUAGAAUGAGGGAAUGAAAAUGUCGCAUACAAGUUGCUAAUUAAUUAAUAGGCCAAAUGAAAAAUGGUUGUUGCCAAAAUUUAAUUAUAUCAUGCAUAAUUAUUAACAUGGAUACUAUAUGGAUAGCAGUAAUUAUUAACGGAGUAUGCCAUAUGGAUACAUGGAUAAAGUAAUUAACAAAGACUGUAAAAUUGAUGCCAAUGAAAAAUGAGUAUUACCAAAUACAGGAUGUUAAUUGAUUAAUUAUGCAUAAUUAUUAAAGCAUGUUAUAUGGACAUAAGUAAUUAACUGUAAAAUGGGUGCCAAUAAAGAAUUAGUAUUACCAAAUACAGAAGGCUAAUUGAUUAAUUAUGCAUAAUUAUUAAGGCAUGCCAUAUGGAUAUAAGUAAUCAACGGUAAAAUGGGUUGUCAAUGAAGAAUGAGUAUCCAAAUACAAAUAUAUGAUGCUAAUUAAUUAAAAAGAAAUUAACACAGAAUGGAUGCCUAGUAAUAAAAGAAAAUUAACACAGAAUGGAUACCCAACAAUUAAAAAGAAAUUAACACAGAAUGGAUACCCAACAAUUAAAAAGAAAUUAACACAGAAUGGAUACCCAGCAAUUAAAAAGAAAUUAACACAGAACAGAAUGGAUACCCAAUAUUUAAAAAGAAAUUAACACAGAAUGGAUACCCAGCAAUUAAAAAGAAAUUAACACAGAACAGAAUGGAUACCCAAUAUUUAAAAAGAAAUUAACACAGAACAGAAUGGAUACCCAAUAUUUAAAAAGAAAUUAACACAGAUGCUCAAUAUUUAAAAAUAAAAAAUAAAAAAUUUAAUAUAGAAUGGAAGGUAGAAUGCUCAGUAUUAAGAAAGAUACAAAUAAUAAAAUUAACAUGUUAAAUGAUGGUAAAAUGAUGAACACGAUAGUUCAUAAUUAAAAGCAGUAUAUCAAACAAGAAAAAAAAAUCAUUAAAUAAGAAUAAGAAGAGGAAAAAGAAAAAAAAACUUACCAGCAGGUCUGCCCUUCAAUACCAAAGGUUAUUCCUUUUGAUCUUCUUUCACUCUUCACCUCUUUCUAAAUCCUCCAAAUAAUAAAAAAAAAAAAAGAUCCUCCCUUUUCUUUUUUCCUCUUUCCUUUUUAUAGGACAAGCUCCAUUGUUUUUUUUAGAUCACGAGAUGGAGUGCAGACUACAGAGGAAUAGGAAGAAAGUGGGAGAGUGGGAGAAAGUGAUAGAGUGGGAGAAAGUGGGAGAGUGAUGACGAAGAAAAAGGGAUGGUUGAGAAAAAAUAGAAAGGAAAAUCAAACCUUUUAUUUUUAUUUUUAUUAUUUAUUUUUAAAUGUAUUUAUUAUUAUUAUUAUUGUUUUUAAAAUAUAAAUUUAAGAUUCAAAUUCAAAUUCAAAUUCAAAUUCAAAUUCAAAUUCAAAUUCAAAUUUAAUUUCUUUUUCUUUUCUUUUUUCUUUUAUAAUAAAUAAAUAUAGGACAAAAUACGGUAUCUACAGUAGUUAUAAAAUAUAAUGACUCGGGAUUGGUUAAAAUUCUCAUAACCAUUUUUUAUAUUAACCAUACGUACUAUUUGUUAUCUAAUAAUUUUUUUAAAAAUAAUUUGAAAUAUAAAUCAUACGAAAAAUAUUGAAUCGGUGAUUGUCAUUGUUUUAGGGAUUAGAUUUUAUAAUAUUUGAAUUCAAAAUAUUAUGAAAUCUAACGAAUAAGGAACGAUAAAAAAUCUUUUAGCAAUUUUUUAGAGGAAUCUUUAUUAAACAUUUUUAUGAAUUAAAUAAACAAAUGUUAAUUAAUUUGAUUGAAAUACUAAAAAUCCAAAAAGUAUUAUGAAUUAUAGGCAUAUAAUUAGAGGAUAUUGAGAAAAUCUUGUCAAUUCCGAAAAUAUCAUUGUUAAUAUUUUCCGUAGUUUGCAAAUACACUAUAUAUGAUAUUUGGCCUCAUUAAGCAAAUGUUAUGAAACGUACCUUGAAGGAAUAAUAUUAUCAAUGAUUUUAUGGUGUGAAUUAAAUAGUGUGAAAUAAAUAGAUAUUAUUAAAAAUAAUUUGUUAAGCAUUUGAUUUGAAGUGUACAAAUCCGAUAAUCUGUAUAAAUUGAAGGCAUGAAUCUAGCCUAUAUUGGUUAAAUGAGAUCAAUCCGAAACAUAAAUAUCUAUUUAAUAUUAUUAUAAAAUUGAAUGAUAUGCAAAUACACUGUAUGUGUUAUAUUCUAUUAUUUUACGUUGCACAAAUAUACUAUAACUGAAAAAAAUGAGUUGCAGACUAUCAAGGGGUAAAAUCGGUUGAAGAUUUGCAAAAAAAAUCUACCUUACGCGAUUUUGCUAAAAAUCAAAUUAUUUUUAAAAUUUGCUAUUUUCCAAAUUCUACUCUAUUAUUUUGUCAUUUUUACGGUUAUCUCUUAAUCAAUUCCAGACUCAAAACACCAACUUUCAUUUUUUCUUCGUUAAAUUAUACUAAACUUUCUCCAUUUUUCAAUUUCUUUUAGUAAAAUUUAAAUAUUUUUUUUAUUAAAUGACUAAUUUUCAUAAAUAUAACAAAUCGACAAAAUUUUUGCGGUUCAUUUAAAAAAUUCAUAAAAUUGAUCAUUUUUUUUAAAUAUUUUAUGUUUGCUCUUCUUUUUAAUCUUCCAUCUUCCCCUUUAAUUUUGCGAUUUUUUUCUUUCCAUCGUUUUUUUCUUCUUUUGCAGUUUUUUUAAAUAUUUAUAUUUGUUCUUCCUUUUCAUCAUUUGUCUGACGCAAUUUUUCUUUUCCUUUCCAUCGUAUUUUUCUCUUAUUAUGCAAUUUUUUUAAAAAAAGUUCAAUUUGUUAUUUGGUUCUGCAAAAUAUAAAAGAUCGUGAAAAAAAAACAUAUUAGAUUGCCAAAUCCAAAACUAAUCAAAUAUAAACCAUCGUAGCAAAUAAACUUUAAAAAAUUGUUUAGAUUUGAGUAGUCAAAUUUAAACUAUUAAAUCUAAACGAUCGUGAACAAAAAAAAUUUGAAAAAAAAUUGUUUAGAUUUGGCUACCCAAAUUUAAACAAUCAUGUGUCAAAUGUAAACGAUCGUGGGACAAAUCUAAAAGAUUGUAUACCAAAAAAUCUUGAAAAAAAUCGUUUAGAUUUGUCUACCCAAAUUUAAACAAUCGUGUGCCAAACGUAAACAAUUGUGUGAAAUCUAAAUUACAAUUGUUUUCCAAAUAUAUUACGUGAGCUGAAUGACAAUUAAUCAUGAGACAUUUUUUGUAUUUUUCAUUGUGGGCCAAUGAGCUUUUUUCAUUUUUGAAAUUGUUCUAGUAUAAAUAUUUUGCCACUCUUAUAAUUUUGAAAAGACCCAUUUUUUAAUGAGAUAACUGUGAGAAUGACAGAAUAAUGGAGUACAUUUAAAAAAAUAGCAAACAUAAAAAAUAAUUGAGUUUUAGCCAUGUAAAGACCCAACUUUUCUAACUAAACAAAAAUCGUUAAAUUAACCACAAAGACUUGAGUUUUCACAAAGUGCCAAUUUAAUUAAAUUUAGAAACUUAAGAAUACAAAAUUUAUGUUUGGACACUGUUUAAAAUAACCAAAACUUUCAAAAAAAGACUUAUGAUUUUCUAGUUUUCUUUUUAUACAGUUAAACCUCAAAUUUUCUAAACAGUCUCAAGUACAAAAACAAAACAAUACAAUACAGUAAAUCACUAAGCGGAAACGAAUUUUAAAUGUCCUCUAUGGCGAUCACGCUUCCUUCCUGCACAGUCACAAUCUUGCGAUCUCGUAGGACACACAUAAUCAGUUUAACGCCCUGAGGGACGUACAUAUCAGUCUAGUGUUCUACAGAAAACACAUAUCAGUCUAGUGCUUCCAAAGAAUGCACAACAGGUGGUGAUCCCGUAGGACACCUGCAAGGUACACUACCCUAUAGAUAAAGUUAACAGUUUUCCCUCAGUCACAAUCUAACAUUUUUAAUCAAUCAGUCAAAUUUUUGCAAUUCAAGCUACCACUAUUUCAUUUUCUGAGUUCAACACGUUUACAGUCAAUUUAUGCAAUCCAACACCUAGUCAACAUUAUUAUAACGGUUCCUCAAUGAAUAAAUAUACACACAAGCAUCGCUAUUCUUAAUUCAGUCAAUCCAAUUUAGUUCCUCAACUAUAGGACACUACCUAUGCCCUAACAUAACAACCAACAAACCAUAACUUAAUCAGUUCAAUCGUUAUAACCUACCAAGUAUACGUAUCAUUCAGUUCAUUUCAUUUCAACAAAAUUUUAUACAGCUAAACAGUCAAUUAAAUAUAAGAUUUGCAUAUCAGUCAGUCCAUCCCAGUUUAGUGGGGUCCAUGCAGACAAUACAUCUCAAUUUCAUUGUUGAGUCCAAUAGUAGGAACCCUUACCUAUACGUUACCUAAGGUCCUUAAUUGAACCAAAGUCCCACGAAGAAGACCAAGAUAAUGGCGAAUUGAACUCCAACACUUCUACAAUUUGGUCGUGAAUCCAAAGAAGUCAACGUUACUUUCAACACCUUCAAGAACCAAUUAACAAUUUAACCAAUUAAUCCAACCAUAACAAUUGAAUUAGUUUUGAAACAACUACAACCCAUAACUUGAAUUUAUUUACCAACAAAACUUCGAUGAAUCUUAGUAAAAUAGGGUAGCGACAAUCGACUCUAAACAAAAACAAUCGUGCAAACAGAUUAGAGUGUACGUCGAUUUGUGAAUCGCGGUUGGAAGAAGAAACACGCUGCUGGAAGAAGAGGAAAUGCGCGGCUGGAAGGAGACGCGCGUGCUGCCUCACGAUCGAUCGACAAGAUGAGAAAGAGGCUUGACGCACAGCACACGGGUGGCUAACUCCAAGGAGCAAACCGGUGCAUACGACUUGGUCGAAUGGAGAGAAGCACGCACGACAGGUUGGAUCUGGCGUCUUCGGUUCGAUUCACGACAGGCACCCGACGACAGUUGCUUCACAGGUAGCAGAUGAAGACUUGACGCCGGUGGUGGUUGGUAGAUGAAGACUUGGCGCCGUUGGUGGUUGGCGGAUGAAGACUUGGAACCGUUGGUUAGUGUUUUGGUAGUAAAAUUGAUUUUAAAUAUUGAUUUAAAACUACCAAAACACUAAAAAAUAUUAUUCAAAUGACAAUAUCAAAAAAAAGCUGUGAGAAUAAUAUAAUUUUUAUUUGAAAUUAUUUAAUUGUACCAAUUUCCCUUUUUUAAUCUGACUUUUAUUUUGGGUACAAAAGUAUUCGAAUGAAUUUGUUUUCAGUUUUGGAAUUUUUUCACUACAGCUGUCUUCUUUAUUGGUCACAUUUAUCGUACCCCUGUUUUAAAAUUCCUUGACCUUUAUCAUAUAUCGUUUCUUAUAAUGGCAAUGCAACGUGUGAAGACUUUUUUUGAUGGUAGAUGGAUAUAAUCUUCUUAAUAUAUUGACUACCGUGUGGUUGAUGUAUUUGUUCCAUGCUCAUCUUCAUUUCAAGAAUUCUUAUAGUGCAUUCAAGAUAGAAUUUUUCCAUCCUUACAUAUUUCUGUGUGUCGCAUUACUCUGGAUUGUGAUGGAUGCAACAGUUCGAACCUUAUUCGAAUUGGUGAAGACAAUGAUGUGUAUUGGCUUAUGUUGGUUAUGUCGAAUUGUCAAUGAUUUUGUUUUGGUUGUUGAUUCUACACCUGUUGGGUCGGUUGAAAAUACACCGUGUUUCAAUACUUUCGAGAUGAAUUCCGAGGGAGUAACCUUAGAGUUUUGAAUUAUGAAAGAAGCAACCUGUUGAAUUCCAAGGAAGAAAAUGAUGACCUUCAGAAGUUUAAAUUUUGAAGGUAUGAGAUGAAGCUUCACAAUAAUGAUAUAUUUUUUUAUUUUAGUUAUUUGGAGAAAAUUUUGUUUGUACCAUUUGUUUUCCAAUUACAGUGUAACGAGAGUUUAUGUUAGUGUGGUAAACAAUUUCAAAUUUUUAGUUUGGAUAGGGGCAUUUGAGGGAUUUAUUUAUUUAUUUUUAUAUUUUAUGUCUUUUGAUUUUCUAACAAUUUAAAAUUAUUUUUGCUAUUUUCUCAAAGUGAAACAUAUAAUUUGCCAUUCUUCUUGACAACCCUUUUUUAAUUUUGAAAUUUGUUCCAAACAUAUCCUCAAAAGAUAUAUUUUCGAAUAAAGAAAGAUAAAUAAAUAACCCCAACCACGUUGAACCAUAAAAUUUAGGAAAAAUAAUUAUAAUGUGUAGCAAUUUUACGAAUAAUUAUUAAAUAUAUAGCAAUUGUUUAAAAAAAUUGUAAAUAUAACAAAGUCUAUCAAUGAUAAACUUCUAUCGUUGAUAGACUUUUAUGGUCUAUCAAUGAUAAAUUAAUAUUUGGAACAUUUUUAAAAAAUAAUGUGAUUUUAGAAAGUAUUGUCAAAAAUAGGUUUGAGCCAAAACAAUUAACAAAAAAUAGGUGAGUUUGGGCAAAGCCGUGGACUCCAUCCACAACUUUAGUGAUGUGGCCGUGUGGGCCCCACACCUUCCUUUUCCAUUAACUAUUUAUAUAAUAUAUAUUAUGUGCAGGCCCCACAAUAUAUUUUUUUUUCAAUUUCUUUUUAAAAAACACAUAUUAUUUUUUUUAUAUAGUAAUUCGCUUGCACUCAAUUUUAAAAUUAUCUUUACCUAUUCAAAUUAAUAUCAACUUUUCAAUUUCAAUUUUUUCUUUUUAUUUAUUUUUUAUAUAUUAAAUAUCCCAAUAUUCAAAUUUUCUUAUUAAAUUCACAUUUCCUAAUUUAAUUAGAUUACUUCUUAAUCAAAAUUAUAUAUAUAUAUAUAUAUAUAUUUAUUUAAAAAAACACAUAUAUUAACAAAAAUAUAUUAUUAAGAAAUAUAAUAAACAAAUUAAAAUAAUAAUAAUAAUAAUUAUGAGAAGUUAAAAGCUUACUCCAAAAAUAACAAUAAUAAUCUUAACAAUCGACAUAGAUUUCUUUUUAGAAUUGAGAGUAUUUGGGGAAUUAGUAUAUAUAUUUUUAAUUGUUAUUAUUUUUAAGGUAAACUUCAACUUCUCUCAAUUAUUAUUAUUAAUUUAAUUAUUUUAAUAUAUUUUUUAAUAACGUAUUUUUUUUGUUAAUAUAUGUGUUUUUAAAAAUAAAUUGAAAAAAAAUAUAUGUAUAAUUUUGGUUAAGAAAUAAUCCAAUUAAACUAUGAAAUGUGCAUUUAAUAAAAAAAAUUGAAUAUUAAGAUAUUUAAUAUAUAUAAAAAAAGAAAAAAGAUUAAAAGAAAAAGAAAAAAUUAAAAUUAAAAAAUUGAUAUUAAUUUUGAUAAGUAAAGAUGGUUUUAGAAUUGAGGGGUAUAUGAAUUAGUAUAUAUAUAAAUAAUGAAAAAGAUUAAGGCGUGAGGACCACAUAUAAUGUAUAUUAUAUAUAAAUAAUGAAUUUGCCCAAACUCACCUAUUUUUGUCGAUAGUUUUGACUCAAACCUAUUUUUGACGAUACUUUCUAAAAUCACAUUAUUUUAGCAACAUGACCCAUCAGUGAUAAAUUUUUAUCAACGAUAAAUUUUGUAACAUUUACAAUUUAAAAAAAAAACUGUUGCUAUACAUGUUACCACGUUGUUUGUUUAAAAUUUGAUUAUCUAAAUGAAUUAAACAGAAUAAUAAUCUCAAUAUUCUUACAUUUCUUUUUACAUUAGUUUUCAAAAUAUACCCUUUUUUUUUCAUUUAUAACAAAAAAAAAAAGGAAAAAAAAAAUCCUUUUUGGAAUAAUUUUAAAAAACUCAGAAACAAUUUCAAAGUUCAAUAAAAUUGAACUUAAAAGAAGAAAACUUGUCCCAAAGUUUAUAGUUAUUAACAAUAAUAUAUACGUAACUUAACUACCUCUUUUAGAGGUAGGAAUUCCAUUAUUCAAUAUUCCCAAUAAAUACAUUCCACUUAUAUUCAAAUAAAAAAUGUUAUUUCAUACCUAAACUCAAGGCUGAUCUCUAACACAUACAAAGUUUCAUACAUCAAAAGUAGCCUUGAAAGAAAAGUGCUUUACACAAACUCCCAAUAAAAGCAAACACAAAAUAUACACAUAACUUUACAAAAUGUCAAUUUCAAAGUACAUUCAUCUCUCACUUACAAACACUUAAAUAAUCGCCCAAAAUCCAACUUAAAAGAAAGCUAGUUACCUAAACCAUUUACAAAGAAUAAAUUUGUUAUUAAAUUUGUAUACAUAGAAGGGUUAUUUAAUAUUUUAACAGUCUAGUUUUUAUGUUUUUUGGGUUAGUAGUAAUUUAAUAUGAUAUAUAAAUAUUCUAUAAAAAUAGGAUAGUUGUUAUGAACUGAAAAAAAAAAUAUAAGUUAUAUAUAAAAAAGUUAAAUAGAUCCAAACCAAUUUAAGAUAUAUUGUUAUAUUUUAUAAAUAAUUUUAAUAUUUUAUCAUUUUUAAAAAUAACAGAAUAAAUCAAAAUAUUUACCGAAUAUAGAAAAAUUUGAGAUUCUAUCACUAUACCAUACCUUGCUAUAGAUUGUAAAUAUUUUGUAAAAUCUACCAUUUUUAAAAAUUCUCCUUUUAAAAGUGUCAAUUUUUAAAUAUUCGAUAGUAUCAAAACUAUUAUAAUGUCAUUCUCUGUCUCUAACAUUUUAUCUUGAAGUGAAUAAAACAAAUAAUUAACAAAUUGUGAUCAACAAUAAAUCAUGGAACCAAGCCACAAUUUAUAAGCUUAUAGCCAACAAAAAAAGCAAUUAAAUAUGUAUUGAACAUUACAAAUAUUUACUUAUGAGUUAAGUUGAUGGGUAAUUUUAUAUUUUAGCCUUUUUAUCUUUCAAAAUAAUAAGCAUAUAUAUGCUCAACAAUAGACUAAAGUAGAGUCUUAAUCAUAGUAUGUUAAUUUAACAUUUCUCUUUAUACUUCUUUUUAUAAUGAUUUAACUAGAAAUACAUAUACUUUGACCGAUUGAGUUUAACUAGCUUAAUGGUAAUGAUAUGAUUUCUGUUUAUAUAGACGAAGUUUGAAUUCUUCAUCCUAGAGUUAUACCAUAAAGAAAAUCAAUUAUUGAAUAUAGUUUCAUGGCUCCACCAAGUGAAGCUUGUUUAAAUACUUGUUUGAACUCUAUCUAACUCAUAUAUCUAUCUUAUAAACAUGGUCAUUCGCAUUCAUAGUAUUUUUAGGACAAUUAAUUAAUAAUAUAACAUUAUUAAAAAAAUUACAAAUAUAGUAAUUUUUUUUAAAAACCCUAAUCAAAAUUUAAAAAUUCGAGUCUUCACAAUAUACAUAUAGCAAAAAAUGUUCUUUACAGUAGUUGUUGCAACAGGUAAUAUCAAUGUCAAGGUAUGAGUAAUUGAUAAACUAAUGGAUAUACCUUAUUCCUCUUUGUCAUGAUAUAUAUAUAUUUUUUUUGCAAGAUCACAUAUGCGUUUUAGUUCAACAAAGUCAAUAGUUAUACGCAUAUCAGUAUUGUAAUUUUGAAGUUUUAAUCCUCGAGUAUAUAAGGUUCAAUAGUUGAAAAGUCUAUUGGAUAAAUUUGUGCAAGUCAAGUUAUUUUUUCCUAUCAAAAGGAGCAAAUGAAUUACUUAGAUUCAAACAAUCCACACAAAUGAGUAACUCAACACUUGUUUGAGUAAAACGAUUAUUCAACUCUUGAAGUUUCAUAUUAAUGGUUGUAGAGAGCACUUCAACACGAUAAUGGUACAAAUUUGUAAUUGGCUGAACUUUUCAGCUUUUUCGUCCUCGAAUUAGAAGCAUGUCAUCAAUUUUAAGAACUUCAAUAUCAUGAUUGUUGCAAAAAUCAUAAACCGGAUACAACAAUGAAUCCCAACCAAACUUUCUAUCAUAUUUUGUAAUAUUAAUUUAUAAAUUUUGGCCAAAUUCAUUGCUUUCACAAUAUGAUAAUCUUUUCUUUGUAGUACUCCACAUACGUCAUUUGUGAUUUCCAAUAUAUUUUCAUGAAAUGUAUAUGAAAAAGAAAGUCAAAUGAUAGGAUAUAACUCAUUGGUAUCUCUGCUUCAUUUUGCUUCACUUUUUUUCUUCUAUAUUUGAUCCAUUUCCCAGAAUUGUCUCAAGUACAUCAACAAUUGAAAAGUGUGAUCCCCAUCGAGAGAACAUAUUUGUGUUUUAACUACUGUCUCUUGAUUUAAUCCUGACCGUUGAUAUUUCACCAUUAUUUAAUGUUUUAAAAAAAAUUUAUGCUAUGAUUCUCUUGUAGAAUAUCUCGACGUUUUGCUGAUGCCCCAAUAACACUACAAGAGUUUUUACUUUCAUUGAUGAAAAAAAACGUUGGCCAAAAUCCAAAAAACGUUAUCGUAAGUUAUGCCGACGCAUUUUUUUAUAUUGACAAAAACGUCGUUGUAUCCAUGUCAGGAGAAGUUCUUGCCGAUGAAAUUUAGUUUCAUUGGCAUAAGUACAUUUUUCUUGACACAUAUUGUUGCGUUGGCAUACAAGUUUUCCCAAAAAAUACAAUUUCAUCAGCAUACAACUUUUUCGAACUAAUACAAUUUCCUUGGCAUACAAGUCUCAUAAUGAAAUACAAUUUUUUCGGUGUACAAGUUUUGCCAAUGAAAUGCAAUUUCGUCGGCAUACUGCAUUUUUACCGACGAAAGAUGUUGUGUUGGCAUAUAAUGUCUUGACCAAAAUGCAUGUUUUUUCCUCAUAACCAUUCUUCAAAAUGCGGUCUAAAACAUAUGUUUGUUGACGUUAUUUUUGUUAGCAUAAGUGGUUUAUAGUUUUAUAUAUGAAUUUUAAUUGAUAAAUAAGCAAUUUUAAACAAUUUUUUAAUUAAUAACACCUAAUUAUGCACGAACAAGAAUUAAUCGACAAUUAAAUCAAUAAGGGAACAACUAUAACCAAAAUAAGCUUCUAUAUUAAAAAUAAAACUAUCAUUUAGUUCAACAAUGUAACAUUAGUAGUAUAAUAUUUGAAAUUUGCUAAUUAAGUUUUCACAAAUCUCACAUGCAUCAUUUCCUAAGCCAAAAAAAAAAAAAAAAUCUUUACCAAAAAAAUUUUCAUUCACCUAAACCAAAGUAUAUCCUAACCUAAAAUAAGCAUUCAUGAUCAUCUCAAAAUCUCCCCCCAAUCUCCAAAGACCGAAUGUGUGAGAUCACACGUAUAACCUGAAAUAGAAAACAAAAUACAAGUGACAAUGUGACAAAGUAGUAACAAAAAUGACAAAGUAGCAAUAUAAAGCGACAAAAUAACAAAGUGGCAACAAGUGGCGAAGUAAGAAAAUAGAAUAUAGAGAUUGAUGCAUUCAAACUACCCUCCCACCUAAUGAUUCAACAUGCUAAACUACAAAUAAGCAAGACAAAUAUAUAUAACAUUCAUUUCAUUUGUAACAAUAAUUUGUUUUUUUAGUAAUUUUUACCUAAUUUUGUGUAGUAGCUACCACAACUAAUUGGAGCUGAAAAAAUAAAUGAAUGUAAAAUACACAUUCAUUUACUUUCCAAAUAAGAGCUCUCAAUCGGUUGAACUCACCUUGCAUAUUGUAACCUUUCUCCAUCAUAUCCUUGUCAUCGCAACUAGAAAUACCUAAUCCAUGCUAAAAAAAGAAAUCAUCAAUUGCUUUCUUGUAUUGUUGACAUGUAUGAUUCCACCAACUUCUUCAACCACAUUGCCUUAAUUUAUCCACAUAUCUUAUUACCAUUGGCAUAUAUGAUCCUUUUAUAUGAAAAUAUAUUUUUUGAUUCGUCUAUCGAAAUAGAAAUUUGCUUGUUAAUUAUGUCUCUAUUAUAACCAUAUUCACAAUUUUGAGUGCAAUAUAAUUCACUAUAUUGUUUUGGAUAUCAGAUGCAAUCAAUUUUAAAUUAUUCGAAGCAUUUUUCAAAGUCACAACACCAAUAUCUUUGUUGUGGUACACAACUGUUGUAAUAGUUCAAGAAAAUUACCUUGAUUCUUCGAAUAACUAUCUCAUCAUAUCUAUGGAAUGAAAGUCCUUAUCUUAAUAAUAAUUGAAUAUAAUCAAUUGGUGCACCUAAUCGAGUUCGAUAUUCAACUCAUACUUAGUUAGACAUCUUAUUCAUAAAAGUCUCAAUACGUUGGUUUGGUUUUUUUUUAGAGAAAACCUCACAUCUACUCAAGCUUGAUUAUGUGCAACAUAUUAUGGCCUCCAAGAUGUGUUUGCAAUUUUUUUUCUUUCAAUUAGACAAUCUUUCACCUGCAAAAAAAAAUCACCUCCUGUUUACUUCUGGUUUGAACAAGUAGCAAAACAAACAAAAUGCAUCCUUUUAAAUGUUUUAUUAUAAUCAAUUAGGAUAUUUCUUAAAUCACACAAGAUUAUAAAUCGUCUGGACUUUGUUCUAAAUUUCUUAAAUGGAAAAUUAUUAUUUCAAGGCUGACAAAGACCUUUUUGUAAAUAUGUUCUACAAACUUAAUCUUUAAUAUUACAAUUAUAGUGAGAAAAAAAAUAGUUCUUGGACUAAGAUCUGCAUACAUCCGCAUAUAGUUGUCCUAAAUUCAUUUAUGUAUCGGGAUCUAUCAAAAUUUGAAUUAAUACUGAUACGUUUCUGGUUGGAAGAUUGACAACUUCAUAAUUUCCACCUGCUUUUUUUUUUUUUUUUAAAUAUGGUUUAUUGAUUUAAAGUUAAUUCUACAAAAAUAUUUACAAUAAAAAUAAUAAAGUCUAUACACAGAACUAAAAAUAUAAUAACUAAAAAAGUUCAAGAAUUUGAAACUUGUUGAUACCACACAUAUAGUCUGAUGAAUAACAAAAAAAUUAUCUUGUAAUUUAACUCUAAACUAGCAUAUGUGUGUUAUAAUGCAAAUAUGAAAAUUACUUAUGAAAAAAAAAAAGUAAAUGUUACCAAUUCAAUAAAAUGUGGUUGAGAACUGAGAUUGAAAAUUGGUCAAAAUCUAGAGGGAAAAAACAUCUACAUGAAUUAGAGAAACUGUCCAAUUCUUAUGAUUAUUUUUGUAACUAAUGAGGCCACAUUGCAACCAAAAGCCUAGGUUUAGGUUAUACUUCUAUUCAUUUUAUUAAAUAUUUAUAAUUUAUUUCAAAAUAAAAUAAAAUAAACUUUUCAAAUAUAUAAUUAUGAAAUAUAAUAUUAAAACGAAAUAGUUGCAAAUUUAGCCAUUAAAUGCAAAAUUUUAAGUGUAUAGCAACAUGUUAAAAUAGUUGCAAAUAUAGUAAAAUUUGUUAAAUUCUAUCAAUAAUAAAAGACCAUGUUGUAAAUAUUUGUACAUCAUUGAUAGAUCAUACAAAUCUAUAAGUGAUACAAGUCUAUCAAAUCGAUAGUUUUGCAACGGAGUCAGAAAUAACCAAAAAUAUUAUAUUAAAAUGCAGCGGGUAGGACUGAUACCCUGUUCUCAACACCCCAGAUGUCUGUCACCUUUAACCAUUACGCUAUGUGUGUUCCAUAACCUUUGGUGCAUUAUUUAAAUGAAUAUUUAUUAACUAUUAAGUUAAAUUUCUAUUGAAAUUAUAAAAAUUGAUAAUUUAAGGGGCACAUUCCUCCAUGCAACAACUUUGGUUUAAGUGAAACUCAUACGAAAAACCCUCUUGGUUGAUCAGGAGAAGAGAAACAGACCCAUUCAAGAAGAGAGAGACUGAUCUUAGGUGAAAACAAUAACCAUAGUAGACAAUCUUAGAUUAUCAUACAAAAGCGAAUGAUACUAGGGAUAACUGCAUGGAAGUCACAUCAUAUCCCUCAAAAAAUGAUUACUAUCUUUCUAGAGAAAACCCCAAGUUUAGCAACUACUUGUAACACCACUACUCAGAAAUCAGUAUUCUCGUCCUUCUAAGAAAGAUUGCACAUAAUUCGUUAAGAAAAUGACUUUCAGCUUCUUAGAUAAAAAUUCAAAUAAAGAUUAUUCGGUGGUCACACAUAACUACUUAGGUUUAGGAUUCAUUCAUUCAUAUUCUUCUUCUAAAUUCGAGGUAUGACAUGUCUAUCAACUUCUACUUGUCUGUCCUUGAACCAAAUUUGACUGGAAAGUGGUAUCAGUAAUGUCUCAAACCUAGAAUAUGAAACUAAUAGACUUAACAUUUUUCUAUGUUCUUUAUGACCUGACAACAUGUCUCUCUCCUAUACCCAUUACAUCAUACCUCUUCCCUGACAAAAAAUUGACAUCAAUAUUAUAGCUAUCUUUAUUUAUUUUACAGGUCUUCUCUAAUAUCUUCCCCCAAUUAUAAAUGCUAUUGUGACUCGAACGUUAGAUACGUUUUCACAUGUUUAAAAUUUGAGAUCUAACAAUAAUAGUUGGUGGUGUUACGAUAUCCUAAUUUCUUUGUCAUUUACCUCAAGGUGGCUUCAAAUCACCAUCAAUUUCUUUAUUCUCAUUUUCUAGCCAAUCUGGGAGAAGAGGAGUCUCUCAUUUGGAUAAAAUGUUGAAAAUAAACGUGUGAUAAAUAAAUAAGCUAUAUAUGAAUUAAUUUAUGUGUAAUGCCCCAAAGGUAUGUAUAUAUAUAUUUUGUUUUUAAUUUUAUAUAUAUAUAUAUAUUUUUAUACUUAAUUUAAAUAAAAAGAAAAGAAAAAGAAAUUUACCUCUCUCUUCUCGCGCGCACACAACCCCUCUCUCAUUUUUCUUUUCUUCUCCUUCCGGUACCCUAGCAGCCGCCCACCACAUUUUCCCUAUUCUUCUUCCCGUCCUGCCGCAGCCAACCGCAGUCAGCCGCCCCAUCCGUUCGCACAGCAACUGCCGUCGGCCAUCGUCCAUCUUCUCUUUUCCUCUCCGUUCCGUCCAAACCCAGCCGGACGUCGCUGCAACCGUCGGCCGCCAUCUCUGUUCGCGAAGCAAGGCCGCCGCGUGAACCUGUAACCGCCGGCUGUCUCCCCUCUCCUUUCUCCUCUGUUUUCAGCCCAGCCGCGCGCCGAUUUCUUCUCCUCCGUCGUCUGCACUGCCGCGCGACUCUCCGGCCAUCUGUAUACGGUCUCUCCGCCGCACGUCAUCUCUUCGCAAAGCCACUACUCGAUUUCUUUCGCGAAGAUUUGGGUAAGUUGCAAAAAGAUUCACAUUGGGUUGAAUUUAAAUGACUGAUGCGUUGAAGGGAAUUAUUGAGAAAUUGUCUUAAUGUUUAGGUUCAUUCUUCAUAGACUUCAACGUGGUUAAGGAGCUUAACAAAUUUGAAAGUAAGGGGUUUUCUACUGGACUCACUUAUGAUUGUGAAUUGUAUGUCUGAAUGAUUAUCUUUGACUGAGUAAAGAUGUUGAGAUGAUACUUAUGUUUAUACACGUAUGGGUGUAGAUUCGGUGCUGAAUGUACACUGUGGAUUGACUGAAAAUAUAUACAUAUGCAUAGGAAUUGAAGUAGACUUAAUGUGGAAUGCAUAUUGUGAUUGUCAUGGAAUAUAUAUAUAUGUGUGUGGAUGUGGACAGGACGAAAAUUGUAGAUUAUGCUUGUAUGAGAUGCAGAUGCGAUCUUGUGAUUGUCGUUUAGAUUGGGUGUCGUUACGCUAAAGUAUGACUGUGUGCUGGUGAUCUGAGGGGUGUAUUGACUGUAUAGUUUGAUUGACUGAUGUAUUAGUAUGUUAUUGACAGACAUAUGACCUAAGUGAGAUAAGCUGACUGUUAGGACGUUGAGAGAAGGGACUCUAUGUUUUGAAAUGUCUGAAAGAUGGGUUGAAUGGAAUGAGGGGAUAAAUUGUUAGGUUGUAUUGGGAUGAUUACCUUGUAGGUGUCCCUCGGGAUCACCAAUUUAUUUUUGCACCUUCGGGAGCAUUUGACUGAUAUGUGUUCUGCAGAACACUAGACUGAUAUGUACGUCCCUCGGGCGUUAGACUGAUAUGUACGUCCUUCGGGGCGUUAGACUGAAAUGUGUAUCCUACGGGAUCACAAGACUGCGACUGUACAGGGUGUCCCAAUAGAACUUUAACAAUUUAUUUUCCCCUGACGAGACCAGUAGAGGGUCUCUUACUGAGUAUUUAAAAUACUCACCCUUCUUAUGUUUAAUUUUCAGGCAAAGGUAAUAAAGGCGGCAAACCGGCGAGGGGCAGGAAGGAAGCGUGAUGCCAUAGGAAACGUGUAAUUGCUUCCGCUUAUUUAAGAUUGAUUUGAAAUUUAGUUUACAAACGUUUGUUGCAAACAGUAUUAUUUUAUGUUUUCUUGAAUGUUUAAAAAUCAGGCCUGACUUGAAGAUGUUUUUUUUUUUAAAUUGCUUACGUUUUGUUUUAUUUUAAUCAGAGUCUUUUAUUUGUUAAAAACUAACGAUCUCGACUUACUUAGAAAAGUUGGGUCGUUACAGUUGGUAUCAGAGCCUAAGUUUUAGGUUCUGUAGACUGACUUACGAUGUAAGUCUAUGUUUGUGUGUUCCUAUGGCAAACGCGACCCUUCGUCUCUCGUCAGGUAUGCUUUAUGCUUAUAUGUAUGGUUUAUUUGCAUGACCUUGCCUAAAUUAAACUAGAUUGCAUGACGAUAAAGACUUGCUUAUGUUUAUGAUUAAGAUUUUGUUAAAGAGUGUUGUUGGUGGAUAAUAGGAAUUAUGCCGCCAAGGGAAGAAGUACGUAGAGGAGGUCGUAGAGGCCGAGGUAGAGGAGCAGGAGGCCGAGGUAGAGGAGUAGGUCGUAAUCAGCCUACUGAGGGUCAAGCUGAACAUCGAAUUCCUGCUGCACCCGUGACUCACGUCGAGUUUGAUGCACUGUCUGCUCACAUGGAGCAGAGGUUUACAGAACUUAUGACAGCCAUAGCUCAAAACCAGCAGGCACCUGCAGUCCCACCUGCACCUGUAGUUCCCCCUGCACCAGCAGCCCCUCCUGCACAAGAAUUACCUAACCAACUUUCUGCUGAGGCGAAACAUUUGAG
rnacentral:lncRNA from 1 species